rnacentral:lncRNA from 1 species
GUGGUAGCCAUGGUGUGCCAUGCCUAGAGCAUCAAAGAACUGCCGACGCGUGAACCUGCAACUCCCACAGUACUUGGAAAAGGGGUCGAAAUCGAAAGCGUCGUAAGCGGCUUGUGCCAUCUCGCCGUAGCGAAUCAGCUCGGAGCGUAAGAGAGGGUCCAUUGGAUCCAACAUCCCAACCCAAUCAUCUUGGCCCUGGAUUUCUCUCCAUACAUCGGCUAAACAUCUUUCUUCUUGUUUAACAGGCUCAAUUUCCUUUUCGAAAUCAUGGUUGAUGGAGGACAAUGGCUCACUUGUUUUGGACAAAGCUCGAGGAAUCCUAGGUGAUCUUGUCGAAAACUCCAAGCUUUUGUUACGUCCAAUGCAAGAUUUCUGACCCAACAACGACGCAAUUGAAGUACAUUUUUCAUAUGGCAAAACCCGAUGAUCAUCAUGGAGCCGUCGAUUGAUAGAAAGAAAAGUUUGGGAUAGAGAAAUGGCCAUUGAAACAAAACAAAAAAAGAUAGUGUAUACACUGUAGGAAGAGAGGUUUAAUAUAUUACAAAGACCCCAAAUCCCCAAUGACUGAGUUGGUAUUUUAUUAUAUUGUAAUAUGAACAGAUUUUUUUUUUUGUAAUGCAUGUGAUUCAUGAGGAAUCCUAAUCCUCAAAUUAGUCAAUGUUUUCACGUUUCCUAGAAGUUCUUGGCAAUGGCAUCAUCCUAUAGUUAAUUCUUUACAAAUAAAGAAGAGACAUAUAUCUUUUAAAUAAUGCACGGCUGGAGUUGAGUUGGUGUACUUCUAUGGGAGACAAUGUGAUCUGCAUCUUACGAUGUAAUUUUAAAUACUUCCCAAAUUAAACGUACGCCUUAAACUAGAAAAAUUACUGCAAAAUAAUUAAGAUCUUUUUAAAAAAGAUUCUUUAUUUUGUAACAGAAAAAAAAAAUGUUUAUUUCUUUUUUGUUGUUGCAACAAGAGUAUCCACUAUGAAUAACUAUAAUUAAUUUUCUCGUCGUAAAUAUUUUUUAAAUAAAUAAAUGUUUGUGUAAGGAUUUAACCUCCGACCAAAUGAUUAAGAGAUAAGAUAUUAAGUAUUUUAAUUUUUGAAUAACCAUUACUCUUCUUUUUAUAUAUAAAAAAAUACAUUGUUAUUUUUCAAUACUGUUCACAGGAACAUUGACUCCUCUGAGAGAAGUCUUAUAUUUAAAGUGUUAUUUUCUGGACAACUAACUCAAACUGUCAACAAUAAAAGGUAUUAAUUCCGUGUCGGGUUUUGCCUCCGGUCUUUAUGCAGAGCCGUGUAUGGCUCACAAAAAGGACACCUUAGUUGACGAAUAUCGAUACCUACAAGACUAGAAGUACUUAAACGUAUUGUAACUCAAAUCACCAACUAUAAUUUUAUACUUAAUUUAUUUAAAUAACGAAUAGGGUAGAGAUUAUACACAUUAUAUAGUAUUGAUUUUUUUAUGUCGUUUUUGCGGCAUGAUUGACCAAAUUAUAUGAGGCAAGUAGCAAUGUUACAGCUCAAGAACUUUGGUAUCGUAUCCAAAUGUAGAUCUCCGGUAGAUAUGAUCAGUGGCUGAUAAUAUAUAUAUGCAUGUCAGCUAUAAUUAUACAUACAGCACUUUAUAUCUUUUUGUUUUGGGGGUUAAAAACAACACUUUAUAUCAUUGUUUUCGAGGUAAUAUAUAUUCAUAUGAGCUCUAUAAAAAAACAAACUAUACAUAUUUUUUAUUUAAUUUGUAAUUAAUUUUAUUUUUUAUUAUGGAAAAAUAAAUAUUUUAUAUUUAAAAUAGUAAAAAUAAGUUAAAAGUUUUAAAUAAUUUUUUUAAUUAUCAUAAAAAGAUUAUUGAUUAUUUUUUACUUAUUUGAAAAUUAUUUUUUAGAAAUAUUUAUAAAAAUUUUUAUCAAAUAAUAUUUAAAAGGCAUAAAAAAUAAAAUUAAUUUUUUCAAAAUAAAUCUAAGAAUAAAAAAAUAAUACGAAAAAAUUAAGAACUAAACAAUACCAAUAAUUUGAGGGACGGUUAAAAAAAAAUAAAAAACCAACAAAACCAAUUUCACCCCUACGUUUAGAUUUGAAAAAAAUCCCAUAAAUGGGCUUGAUAUCUAUUUACUAAGAAAUUUUUAAAUAAAAAGACAAUUAUACUUUAUUAUUUAUUUAUGUAUUUUUAUUUAAUUUUAUUCAUUUAAUUUUUUUAAUUUUAAAAUAAUAAAAAUUAAUUACAAAUUGAAGUGCUAGAAAUUUAAAUAUAUUUGGAUUCUUUCAUAAAAAAAUUAUAUUUCACUUCAGUUAAAAUUAAGCAUUUUAAAUUUAUAUUCAAUUUAGUUAUAUAUUAAAACAUGAGAUGAAUUUAUUAAAUUUUUUUAAUGUAAAAUUAAUUAGUUGCCAUUAUUUAGUAGAUUUUAAUGAAAAAAGUGAUUAAAAUAUAAAAAGAAAAAUAGAAAAUAGAAUCAUUUAAAAGUUAAUUAAUUAAAUUAAAAUUUAAAUAUUUAAUAUGUAUAAAAUAUUAUUAAAAAGGAAAAAAAGUAAAAGACAAAAUAAAAAUAAAAUAUAUUUAUCAUUUAUAAUAGUUUCAACCAAUGAGGCCUUAGUUUAAUGGUAAUUUUAAGGAUACCAAGUUUUCAAACCAUGAUUAUCACUCUGUGUAAACCAUGAUUGAGAUUUCAAAUUAUAUUUAUUCUAAUUUAUGCCCCAUGUAGAUCUUGUAUAAAUUUAUUAUGGUUUAGGUAUAGAUAUAUCCGGGUUAUCAUUUCGAUUAAAAUUUAUAAUGAUUAAUUUGAUUAUAAUUAUUUGGAUGUAUCAUUUGUAAUUGUAAUUGUGACUGUACUUAUAAUCUAAAAAACCAGAUUUUUUACCUAUAUAAUAUAAAAUAAAAAAUUUAUUAAAAUGACAUGUUUAAAAAAUUAUGUACUAAAAUGAUACAUUCAAAUUGGUGGAGAGUGGUGCAUAGGUGGUACCACUUUUGUUCAGGGGUCCCUCCGGCUCCCCCAUCCGGCUCAAUUUUAAAGUAUCAGUUAAAAAAAAAAAGUAAAACAAGAGAGGGAGAAGAGAAGAAAGAAAAGGUAUUAUUAUUUUUAUUGUUAUUUUCAAAUAGAAUAGAUUAAUAUGAUAAGAAAAAAUUAUUUUGUUAGUAAUAUAUAGUUUAUUUAGUGUUAUUUUUAUGUGUUGUUUUAAAGUUAUUUUGUUUAUUGUGAUUUGUUAGUAAGUUUUGUGUUUAGAUUAAUUAUGUGUUUAUUGUGAAUGUUAUGUUUUAAUUUUUUUUAAUAUAUUUGAAAAUUUUUAUUUUAGUAACUAUUAUAAAGUAAUUGUUAGUUAGUGACAACAACAGAAAAAAAUAGAUAAAUACUGAACAUAUUUCUGUCAUAGAUAUUGUUAGAAAUAUCAAUAAAUUUGAUAUUGUUAGAAAUAGUCUCUUUUUAUUCAUUAAUUUUUUUAUGUAAUUAUUUUUAUGCUGUUUGAAAUUGUUUUGAGAAUUUUUGUUUAUUUUUUAACAGAUUGAGUAUUGAAGAUGGACAAUCAAUUUUUCAUAUGCGUUUAUUUCGAUGGAAUCAUCUUGACAACAACCGUUGGAUGGAUAUUUGAAUGUCGGCAACAAAUAACAAUGAGAUUUAAUAGAAAUGUCUAAUUCGAUGAUAUGAAGAAAAAGAUUAGUGCAAAAAUUGUUAGACGUUGUGGAAGAAGGAUCUUGAAACUUUUCUAUAAGUUUCUAGUUUCGACAGAUCCUAUCAAAUUCACUAAAAUGAAAUUUGUAGACAAUGAAGACGUGGAGACAAUGAUCACUCUUUAUUGUGGGAAUUAGAGUGACCAAAAUGCACUGAUUCAGUUAUUUGUUGAGUUAGCUGGUGUGGAGCCAACUGAAGAUUUCACUGCAUCUGGUGAAGAACAUGGAGCUUAAGAACUGUGUAUGGUGGCUCCAAUAUCGUACGUUGAUAGUGAAUUGACUAUACGCGAGAUUGAUAUUGAUCUUAAUGUUGCACCGAUAUUGAUGUGGUUAGUGAUGAUGGAUACGAUAGUAGUGAUCCUUAUGAUCAAGAGGUCGAUAGUGAUAGUAAUCCUGAUGUGGACGAGAUCCCCGAUGAUAUUGAUGAUGAAGACGUGAAUAACGAUGGAAACAUUAACGCGUCUUCAGUUUGAAACCAGAUUCGACGUAUUGUGAUACACAAUAAUCCUGGGACACAUAUGCCGCUACGUGGCGCACGUAGCCAAGAUCUUGGAGUACCCUGAAAUACUACCUACUCAGCGAUUGGCCGUAGAUUUAAAUCUUGAGGAAUUGUUCGUAGGCCAGAGAUUCAAAAGUAAGGAAGAGUGUGUAUUUGCUAUUAAGCGGUACAGCAUGAAUAUAUUAGUGGACUACAAAGUCGCAGUGUCUAAACCGACAUUAUAUAUUAGGGAGUGUUGGAAGUCGACAGAAGGUUAUAAUUGGCGAGUACGAGCUGCAUUUAUUCAAAAUUCGCAAAUGUGGGAGAUAUGAAAAUUUGUUAGGCCUCACACAUACACAUCAACACAUAUGACAGAAGAUCAUUAAAAAAUUUAUUCCAAAACUAUCUGUACAUGUAUCAUGCCAAUGGUGAAAGACAUGCCGACUAUUAAAGUUUCGGUACUGAUUGCCAAAAUGCAAUCCUAUGCCCUUCACAAUAAGUUUAACUAGAGAUCUAUCAUAGCAGUAUAAUUAGCAUUUAAUCUAGAUAAUUUAAACAUGAAGAUCAAUCCAACAUAUAGAAUGAGAGAGAACACUUAUCAGAAAAGAAAGUUAUUUUUAUUCAUCGAAGUAAGUAAAGUCUUUAAUCAACUAAUCAUGCAUGGCUCAACCAUUUAGAAUUUAUCUGAAAUUAAAACGUGUAAGUCUCGUAUCUAAAAAAUGAACAUCAAUACUAGGGGUAAAAACUAGAUACAUGUGCCCAUAAGUCACUUGGAUUCAGCUACAAGUAAAACUUCCAGUCAUUGUCAAGUUCAACUCAAGCUUGAUAACCUUACAAAGAUUUGGCAAAGAGAAAAAAAAACUCAAAUAAAUUCAAGUGAAAAGCAUGUAUCAAAAACUAAAAAACAGAUAUGUGCCCAUUAAAAAAACAAAGUUAAUGGGACUGCAUAAAUCAUAAAAAACAGAAACGGAGGAGAAAACUUAGGAUUUCUAUCUCGCGAAAGUACACAGGAAACAAACAAAAAGAACAAACAGAAAGAGAUCAAUAGAUUUGAAACAUGGAACGAAAAAGUGAUGUAUAAAACUGAAAACCAAAAACCAUAAAAUAGAAAUGAAAAGGCAAAAGACAAAAACAAAGACAAAGGCAAAUAAGUGAAAACGCAAACCCAAAUAAAGAUUCAUACAUGAAAUCAGUCUCCGAUAAAGCAACCAAAAAGAAACAAACAGACAGACCCAUUCGAUAGAUUUCAAACACAGAGCGAAACAGUGAGUUGUAAACCUGAAAAACCAAAAACCCCAUUUAUGUUUUAUUUUUUCUUUUCUUUUUAUUAAUUGCUUACGAAAACUCUCUUAAACUCACUUUAAGACCAAAGCACAUACAUAGAUCCUUUCCUUUGAUCCUAUUAAGGAACUUAGCAAGAAAAGAUAGUACCAGCAUAACAUGUUUAUUUUUCAAAUGAUCUCAAACAUAUUUUUCCCCAAUAUCCUGUAUUUAAAAAAGUAGAUUUCUAGCUAGUUACUUGGAGUCAAGUGCAAGCCCUAUAUACAGAUAUGUAUCCAAUUUAUGCGUGUUCAAAUUUUUAAAGCUUUUCCAUGCAUUUGGAAUAUUUUUGUAGGGACAUAUCCCUGUAUCCAAGUUUGUCUAAGCGUCAGACGCGUGUACUACAAGAAAAAAAAAGAGCAGGAGCAACAGAGAUUACCGAUAUAUAACUAUUAGUUCUCUUUUUAAGAAUUAUUCACAUUGCUUAGGAGAAAUCACAUGUUCUAUCAAGGGUAGCAUGGAAGAAAGAGAAUAGUUUCAGUUGAAUAUUAUAAUAGAAAUACCUACAACUGUCUUACAUUAUAAUAAGGUUGUCGACCAGCAAUGCAAGGUGAUGUUUCUAUUAAACCAUAUCCAUUCUGCACUUCAGACCAAUUGCCUACAUGUACGAGCCAUCAUAAAAUAAGAGAUAAGUUGACUAGUACCCUUUUCAUUUGAAAACUAAAAACAUAUUAGCAUCUAACCUCAUAAAACUUUUCAAUAUGCGUUGGCAAACUUCCACUCUGUUUUUGGCAGUCUAGAAGAUGAUAGAAAAUAAUCAAUAAAACCCAGAACAGAAAUACUAGAAAUGCUGAACAAAGAAAAAUAAAAGGAACAUACCUACAAGGAUCUUUGCACAUAAAAGGAAAAAUAAUAAUAUGAUUUCCUCUUCUUUUUCUCCUUUGUAACGUUUCUUUUUUUCAAUUGCAAUACACUACAUUAUAUGACACGGGUGUGAAUGUCAAAUAAGGGUAUGUAAGCAACGCUGAUAUGUUUAAUUUUGCAUAUGCUUUUCUAUAUAUUUGAAGGCUCAGCUAAUAUCCCCAAACAAUGUCCAGUGAUAUGUCAAACAAAAGUGUCAGACCCAAGUACUUCAAGAAAAGAAAAAUGAAAGAGUCGGCGAAACAUAGACAAUUCAUGCAGGUUUUAUUAGUUCAUAAAUAGAGUUCACUCUGAAGCUGGAAGAAAAUUUUUCAAUAACAAGUUUAUGUAGCUAAUAGAUCAAACCUUUUGUAUCCCAAUAGCAGAGUGGAUUUUUUUGUAGACAAACUUUGUUGCUAAGACAUGCAAUAGCCACAAUAUUAUAGCAAUAGUUUAAGACCAUAAGUAGCCAAACAUGGAUACAAUAUGUGAAGGUUCCUCCAGAUUUCUUGUUAGGCAUAGACCCUAUUGAUCAAAUAAAAAUCAAAGGGAAAAACUAAGUUGAAACAACUGACUAACAAACAUUAGAAUUCAUCCAGUUUGAUAGUUUGGAGAGAAAAAAAACAAUCAGAGGACCAUAUGAGUGCACCAACACUCAGUACAUGUUACUUGGACUCAAGUGGGUGUGAGUAGAGGCACCCAUCUUAUAUGGGUAUGUUUGACUUUUUUUUUGGUAAGUUUUUCACUAUAUUAACCCAACACUUCAUUUUUUCCUAAAUAACUACUGUGUCUGAAUUCAUCUCCAACAUAUGCUCGGACAUGGGCAUCGAGAUAUGGUCCUCCAAGAGUCCUCCAAAUACAUGCAAUCCUAGAAAAAGCUGAAAAUACUCAAGUCAGAUGCCUAUGUCAACACUUACACCCAAGUCCGAGUAAUAUAGCCUUUUCAUGUAUUUGGAGGGUCAUAUGCUAUAUCCACGUCCGGGAAUGUGUUGAACACGGAUACUUCAAGAAAAAUGAAAAGUGAAGAAACACAUGAUGAUUGUUUUUAAUUUACUUUAUUCAGUUUGGUUGAUUCCAUAGGCUGCUAGACUAGUCACAAUAUUCUGCAGAAAGUGUUAUCAGCAUAACCCUAUUGUCAAAUGAAUUCCCUGAUAAGCAGAACCAUGUUUAGCCCGUACAUUUAACAGAAUUUUAACAAUUUAUACAAAAGCACAAUUGCUUAAACAAUUUCACUAAAAAUGAAGUUAUGUGGUCUAGUUGAACUUUAAGAAUUAUAUCCAUAAAAGAAAUAUAGGUAACAGGUUAAACUGGCAUCUAAUCCUGUUUAACCCGUACAUUUAACAGAAUUUUAACAAUUUAUACAAAGGCACAAUUGCUUAAACAAUUUCACUAGAAAUGAAGUUAUAUGGUCUUAGUUGAACUUUAAACAUUAUAUCCAUAAAAGAAAUAUGGGUAUCAGGUUGAACUAGCAUCUAAUCCCCAUCUAUCUUAAGUUUUAGGGCAUUAAAAAAUGGAUUUAAGCCAUGGGAAAGUGCAUAAGAGCAUUAAAAUUGAAAAGAAAAGAUAUUGGGAUAAGAACAUUACCGUGUAAUACAAUGAAGGAAAUAGCGUGUCUAAUACAAUGAAGGAAAUAGCAUGUCUAUUUGGGAUAAGAAUCAAUGUAAUAGAGAAUAUGAAUAAUGAAGUAGUUGACUGCAAAAGACAGGCCAUUGCUGGUGAAAUCUUGCAGAACUAGAGUUUCUUUCUUUCCCAAAGCAUCCAACAAGAACAACCACACCGACAUCCAUAGAUUUGAAAAGACGAAUCGAAGCAAUAUUUCAUAGAGCUGAAAACCCAAAAUCUAUGGAUGAAGCAAGUGAUUUCAAUAUCACAAAAAAAAAAUAGAAAUGAUUGAGAAGGAAGAGAUGAAAACGGAUGAGAGAGGAAAAAUUUGAAGAGAAAGAGAUGGUGAAGAAAUGGGAAAGUUAAGGAGAGGAUGGGAUUUGAAAAGACUGAUGAAAACGGGCAAAGGGGUUCUUCUCCUGCCAAUGGUAACUAUUUUUAUUUAAUACACUCAUUUAAUAAAGUGAUAAUUGAGUUGUUUACCUUUCAAAAUUUCAUUUCAUACCCUCAUUUUUAAUAUUCUUAAUGUCUAAAUAUAUUUAUUUUUAAAAUAAUACUAUUUACUAUAUCAAAUAUAUUAAGAGUUAAAAAAGAUAGUCAGAAUCUAGUAGAUUAGUAAUGCUAAAUGUCGUAACUAACAAAAAGAAGCCUAAAUUUUGAAAUGGUUCUUAGGCAUUUUAAACUAAUAGGAAGAGAAAGUUUCGAUUUGAUUUAUUUCUCCACUAAUACUCAAUAUGAUUUAAAUAGUGUUUUUUAUUUCUUUAAUAAAUAUAAUGUUUUUUUAAUAAUACUUAAAAAUAUUGUGAUACAUAUUAUUUUAUUAAAUAAACUUCUAAUUGAUAUCAUGGUUAUAAUGACAUGUAUAGGUGGACUUAUGUCUAAUGUUUAGUUAAUGAUGUCGGCAUGUAAUAUUACUUUGAAUUUGUGAAACUUAUGAUAUUUGAUGCCUUGAUGGUUGGUGUACUUUUUUUAUGUUUAAAGAUUGGUGUUUAUAAGAUCAAAUUGAUGCAUAGUUUUAUGGCCAAAGUGGUAAGAGUUGGCAUGUUUACGAAGUGAUCAUUUAGGGCAUGUUUUAUGCUAAUGGUGUUUAUAUUUUUUUAGAAUAAAAAAAGUACAAACUUUGUAAUAUUUAAAUUGCAAGAAACCCCUAAAAUUGAUGGUUUGAUGGUGUGGUCUUAGGGGUAUAUUUUUGUGGGGGUCGACGUUCACGUUGUGGGUGAUCGCGGUGAUCAAUAUCCUCUUCAGUCGUAGGUGGGGGUGUGCGAAAUAUAGAAGAAAAAUCAUAUGCCUCGAACACCAUCGAUGAACUUGAGUCGGGAGGUUAUACUACGGUAGAUACAACCCAAGAGGAGUAGAGUAAUGCGGUGGAUACAGGCCGGGAGGAGUGUUGUACUGAGGUGGUACUGGACUAAAGAUAUCAAACCCGGAAUGAUAUCCGUGUCCUGACGAGCCCGGGAAAUAGUCAUUGACCCGUAACUUUGGAUGAUAAGAACUAUCAGCGAAAUGUGUAUGCAAUUGCUCGGGCUCAGGCUCGGGCUCUAGCUUUGCCUCUGGCUUAGCUUCUAUAUCGGGCACUGGCUCGUAUGCCCCAAGUUAAUGCAUGUGCGGGGGAGACUAUAGUCGACUGUCCAUCAAAUAAAUAUGGUUUUUCCAUACUAGAGUACCAUUGUAUGUACUUUAACGAUGGUUGCAAAUUUAAAGAAAUAUCCAUUUGAGGUCUCCGCGCCAUCCGAUUAUCCCACACUGCAAUAUAUUUCUAGUGCACAACCCCCCAAUUAUUUCCAUGUUUUCCUCUCUUAUUAAUCCUGUGAAUCUUCCCCAAUUGCAUUGGUAGAACGGGGAUAUACUGGAUGCAACCAAACUGUCGGAGUACUAGAUCCCCGUAAUACCACUCAACUGUAUGAAAAUUGAUAAACAUGUGAGAAUGAAUGUGGGUAGAAAUACUACACGAUUAAUAACAUGGUUAAAAUUUAACACAGUUCGAGUAAGAUAUACAAAGUAAUUACAUGUCACGAAUAUUGGAAUAGCUUACCCCUUCCUUAGCAUGUUGUUCAAUCAUCAGACUAUAUAUAGGGGCAGUGUAUGAUCUCCCAAUACUCGGAUAAAAAUUCUAUCUAUGAAAACAAAUUACAUGUAAGAAUAGUAUCGUUAAAAUAGUAUCAUUAGAAAAAAAAUGUCAAUUAAUCGCAAUAACAAGUUAAAUUUUAUCACCUGUUCACUAGUGGAAAUACGUAUGCUUGGUGCCUAACUGAAGCCAAAAAUGACAUUCGAUAAAGAGUCCAUAACUGCAGCAAUAUAAGGCAUCCGCCUAUAUCUACAGCAUCAAACUUUGUCGUCCGACAAAGCUCAUAAUACAACAUAGCCAGAACUGCGGAACCCCAACUAUAUGAGCGAACAUCCUGCAAAUCAGCUAACAGAGGUAAAUACAUCAAAUGAACCCUAUUGUUGUUCGCAUCCGACAUUAGUACACCCCCUAUAAUAUGUAUAAUGUACGCUCAAACUGUGCACAUCACCUCCUGCUCGGUGGCAUUAAUUGAUAAAUGUUCAAAAUUGGCUUUUAGCCAUGAAAAUUUCAAACCCGUAAAUUUGGACUCAGCAUCGUUGGAUGAGGCUCCUAGUAGGCUAUAACAAAGGGCAGUUGGCUCAACUAUCAUACUUACGCCCAUUACGGCAUCCUGUCGAUUGGGAGCCCCAAGUUGCAAUACAACAUCCUCUAGAGUGACAGUGCACUCCCCACACGGCAAAUGAAAAGUGUGGGUCUCCGGGCACCAACGCUCGACCAAUGUGGAUAUUAAAUUGUACCGUAAAUCAAACUUUCGGAUCAAUGCUGCUGACCUGAAUCCAGCUAACUCCAAGUAUAGCAUCAGUCGUUCAUCCAGGGAAUAUCCUAAACCAUUCACCCGACUCCUCAAUGCGCGGUACGAGCUCUGACACUAUUAAAUUACAAAAAAUAGUUAUAAUAACAUAAUUUAUUUCCGUAAAUGAUGUACAACUUUUUUUAAGGGAACUCGUGAUUAACAGAUAAUAAUAUAUUACCAUAUUAUUAAUUGUGUUUGAUAUGUGAUCAUCGUUCUUAAUCAAUGAACCCAUUGCGAUACCUACAAUUUCAAAACAAAUAUCGGCAAUUAAUUUCAGACUUUGAUGCAUUUUAAAUAUUUAUCAAAAUACCUAAAUUUUAUUUAAUGCUUUUAAUUACAAAAAAAAUAUCAAACAGCUUUGUCCACAUCAUAUUUCUUGCUAUACUACGUUAACAAAAUAAACAUAUCUUAUAAAUUUCAACUCAAACUCCAACUCAAUGGUCCCAUUCCAUCUCAAUGGUUUAAUCUUUUACCUAUAUAAAAACAAAAAAUUUAUAUUAAAAUAAUAAAAAUAACAUGCCAAUAAAAAAAUAUAACAAAAACAUAACAUAAACUAUCUCAACAUAAUAAAUAUGAAUAUUUUUAUUAUUAUUUAAAAAUGAUAAUAAGUAAAAUGCAUUGGUUUAAAAAUAUAUUAUAUAUAAUAACAUGUCAACUUAAUUAUUGUCAAAAAAUAUAAUUUUAUUGCAUAGAAGGAUUCAAAAUAAAUUUCAUUUAUAAUAUUUAUAAAAACCAUAAAAUAAAUUUUAAAAACAUAAACUCUUAUUGUCAAUUAUAAAAUCUUAAAAAAUUAGAACAUAUAAACUAUUAUUCCUAAUUUAUCUCAUUAAUUCCAACUCAAUGGUCCCAUUCACAAAUUCCAUAUCAAUGGUCUCAUCUUUUACCUACAUAAAAAAAAUUAUAUUAAAAUAAUCAAAAUAACAUGCCAAAUAAAUUACAUAAAAAAUAAAUUUAAUCAACAUAAAACACACAUAACAAAUAAAUUACAUAAAAAAUAUUCUUUGUACAUAACAUAAAUAGACUUUUUUUACUUCAAUAAACAUUAAAAAGAUUAUGAAUGAAUGAAAAUAUAAAAUAAAUACAAACAUACCUUAAUAGCUCUUUUUAACCAAAUAAUACCUUACAAAAAUAAAAUUAAAAAUUAAAUCCAAAUUAAAUCAACAAUAAUAACAACAAAAACAAAUUAAAAUUAAUUUAUAAUAAAAGAAAUUACAUUUUCUUAAACACCUAAUCUUCCCUAAACAACAAACUCACUCUUCUUUCCUUUUUUAUUUAUUUUUUUCCUUGUCUUUCUCUUUCCCUCUCUCUAUUCUGCUUCUCUUUUUUUCUUUCUUUUUCCCUUCCCUUCCCACCCUCUCCUUCUCCUUCUUCUUCUUCUCUUCUUCAAAAACUUUCUUCACUCUUCCGGCCAAAAAUGGGGCAUUGAGGACCUUAUAAUGGUCCCCAAACACACAACUCACAAGCAUCAGAUAUGACCCGUCCCAUCGCCUGACAACCGCAACCGGUGCUGCCUGUGGAGAUGGCGUGAUCGAGAGUGCCGCCUUUGCAUAAGGCAUGACCAGUGGGUGCCGCCUCUCUAGUAGGCAUGACCUCUUGUGCUGUCCCAUCUUUUCUUUAAGUGCCACCUAUUAUAUUGCCUUCACCAGUUUUUUUAUUUUUUAUUUUUAUUUGCAGUCAGAAUUGUCGAAAUUCUAGGGUGGUACUGCCUAUGCACCACCCUCCACCAGUUUGAAUGUACCAUUUUGGUACAUAAUUUUUUAAACAUGCCAUUUUAAUAAUUUUUAUUUUAUUUUAUAUUAUAUAGGUAAAAAGCCAAAAAAAAAUCUUAUAUAUAUUAAUUGAAAAUAUAUUAUAUUUAACAUAUCAUUAUAUUAUAAUACAAUGCAAUAUAUAAUUUAAUUUAGAGGUGAUGUAUAUUUUUGCCCCUACACUUGACCACUUGUACAUAUUUGGUAUCUAUUUUUUGGACUUAAUUGGUACCUAAAUUGGGAAUCCUCACAUUUUGAUACUUUUUUUCUAAUGCCAUUAGAAUGUGAUGAUGUGGCAUUGAUAACUCAUAACAAAAUAUCAUGUGUCAUCUUCAAAUUCUGACAUGUGACAAGAAUUAAAUAAAAGAUAUUUAAAAAUAUAAAUUUAUGAAAAAUUAAACUAUAAAAAUAUAAAUUUUCAUAUAACGUUGGAAAAAGUUUUAAACUUUUUUCUUUUAUAUAAAAUUUGAUUGAGUGGACCAAUUACUAAUAGAUGAAUACUUCAGGAAACUCAAAAAAAAUUUUAAAAACCAUAAAAUAACAAUAGCAGCUAAAAAGAUGUUUUAAAUAUUUCUCUCAAAACAAGUCAUGGAAUUGAAAACUGAGAGAAAUUCUCACUAAUUCUCUCUCUUCUUCUUUUUUUAAUACUUUUUUUGGUUAAUUACAGUAACAAGGCAAAGGUCGAACAACAAAUGCGACUAGCGCGACUUGAACGCAGGCCACACCUGGGACGAUGAACACCCUUGACCAUCAAGUUGAUUAAAACCAAAAAUUUUUCAACAAAAACCAUUAACAUGUUGAAACCAAAAUUUUUCCAAAUAAAUCCCACAUUUAUUGAAGCAAAAACAAAGAAGAACGCAUAUUGAUUAGGUGAAUUUAGACUUAGAAAUGAAUAAGUAAAUGCUAUAAUUAACUCUUACAAUUUAGUCUCUAUACUAUAAUUAACCGCUCUUUUUCAAUUCAACUACUUGAUUCUCUAAUAAUAUAUUUUUCAUACUAAAUAAGUAAAUGUUGUAUUCAUAAAUUUACUAUCUCUAUUUAUGGUAUUUGACUUCGAAAUCACAUUUUUCGACACUAGUUAAAAUCAUAUCGUUCCAUUAGACCUAAAAUAAUUUUUAAAAAUUUUUCCCAUAAUUUUAUUUAUUUUAAAAUAUUUUUAUAAUUUUUUAUUUUUCCUUUAGUGAUUGCCACAUGUUAUAAUUUAAGGCUGCCAAUUGACAUUGUUUAUUGGUUGUCAAUACCACGUUAUCACAUUAUAUUAGCAACGCAAGAAAGGUACCAAAGUGCAUGACAAAUUCCAAGUUUAGAUACCAGUGAGGUAGAAAAAAUUUGGUUACCAGCAAUGUACAAGUAGUCAAGUUCGGCAAAAUAGACAUUAACCAUUUAAUUUGAUAAUCAUUAAUUUUUUUUAUAACUAAUUAUAUUUUUAUCAAUUUAAUUAAAAAUUAUUGAAGAUAAAAUUAAAUAAAAUAAUAAUUAACUAAUGAAGAAUAAAGUUGUAAUUUUAUUUAAAAUUUAUUUAAUAAAUAAACCUUUAGUGUUAGUGGAUUUUUGUAAGGAUAAAUAAGUAUUUAUCAAAGCAUAGGAGAAUUAAGUGAAUUGUUUUAAUCAAACCUCAUGGUUUUUAAUAGUUUUCCUUUUUAAUUAUAACAAAAUAAAAAUAGAAACAUUAUUAUAGUUAAUGAGAAUUUAAAAUAACGAAAACUAAAUAAAUUUGUUAGGUAAGAUAAUGCAUUUAAUAAUAAUAAUAAUAUGAUAUAUAUUUAAAAACAAAGAAGCCGCCUUGAUUGAGAACGCUUGAAAAGUUAAUCAAAAGCCUUCUAUUAUCCACCUUAUUAAUAAACUUUACUGCUAUGGUUAAUAAUCUCCAAACAUCCCUCAGAUUUUAAUGUUUAUAAUUUUAAUAUUUACUUAAAAUAUUAAUAUUGUUUAUUACUUAAAAUUUGUUUAUUAAGCACUUCAAAAUUUAAUGCCACAUUCCGUCAUUAAUCAAGAAACAUCUUUAAAGUACUUGAAUCAAAUUGUAAAUACAUGUGUACUUAUCACAUAAACAAUUUAAAUUUAAAGUGUUAAAAAAUAAAGAGCAUCAAUAAAAUUUACGAGUGCUAUUUUUUUAAACACAUCAAAUUUAAAUUAUCCAUUCAGUAACUAUAUACAUAUUUACAAUUAAAUUUAUAUAUACUAGAUUUUGUCACACUCACAAUAUGGAGCGAUAAUGAACUUGUAUUUUAAUACUAAUGUACACAUGUUCAAUCUUGUAACAAGCCAGUUUUUAACUAAAGCGGAACAGUGAUUUUGAGACCACAAAAUUCAAGGUCAAAAAAUUAUUUUAAUAUUAUUUUAAGUGUUUACGGCAUGAGAUUAGAUAUGUGUGAAAGUUUCGUGUCUUAAUUUUAUCGUUUAAGUGGUUAAAUUGAGAAAAGGACUUAAUCGUGUAAAAUGUAAAAGUUGCAUUCUAUUUUAUAAAGGUGUCUAUUUGAUAUGGUUUAUUAAAUGUGAAGUCCUUAUGUUGUAAAUAGACCAUUGAUAGUGGGAAUGGACAUAAAUGGUCUUAUAUUUGAUGUUUUAAAUUGGUUUUAACUAAGGUUAAAUUGGUAAUUUAGUUAUUAAAGUUAUUAUUAAUAAAAGAAAACUAAAAUUUGGCUUCAUUAUCACCAUAUUCAACCAAAAAUCAGCAAAAGAAAUAGGGUUUUGAGCUUUUAACCAUUCGACCAUUGCUCAUCUUGCUUGAGAUAUGAAAUUUGUUCGGUUUUUGAUGAUUUUUAUUUUUUUGUGAUCAUUGCUUAGUAAUCUAGCUAGCCCAUGCCUCAAUUUUUGAAAGUGUUGAUGAUUUUUGAAGUUGACAUUGAUGAAUUCAUGUGUUCUUGAAUGUUUGAUGAUGGACAAUGAGUAUUUGUUGAUAGAUUAUCAUGUUUUGUAAAGUGAUUUUUAGUGAAAUUUCAUAAAAAGGACUAAUUUGUGAAAAGUGUAAAAUGUGUGUUUAAAUUUGUGAAAUAAAUGAAAAUAUGGGUUGAUAUGAAGCUAUAUGAAAUUUUGCUAGCAUGAAAUUAGAAAGAAAUUGUGAAAUUUUGUGCAUUUAUGAAUAGGGACUAAAUUGAAUAAAUGUGUAACUUUGGGGCUAAAGUGAAAAAAUGCCCAAAUAUGUGUUUAUGGAUGAAAUUGAAUGUGUUGAUGAAUAAAAGUUUUAAUUUUGAAUUUAUAUAAAUCAAGAACAAAACAAAUCGGAUUUAGACCGGGGGAAAAUAAAAGUUAUCGAAUAGUCAAUUCUGUCCGUCUAUUCCUACUACGAGGUAAGUUCAUAUGCAAAUACAUACUUUUAAAUUGAAUUAGAUAUGCAUUAUUUGUCAUUGAAUUUCAAUGAGUAUGAAUGAGCAACUACGAGCAAGAAACGACAGAGUUACGACAUCCGGAAGUCCCGUACGAACCAUAGGAAUGCUUAGGAUGCAAAUGUCAUGACAUUAGGUUUAUCGAGAUGAGAUUACAUAUAAGACCAUGUCUGGGACAUUGGUAUUAUAUUUUGAUUACGUGUAAGACCGUGUCUGGGACAUUGGCAUCGUUAUAUGAUUUUGUGUAAGACCACGUCUGAGACGUUGGCAUCGAUAUAUGAAAACAUGUAAGACCAUAUCUGGGAUAUGGUAUUGUAUGAGCUUUACGAGAUAUCUGAGUAUCCCUAGUGAUUCUGAAGGGUUCAACAGGCAAAGUCAAGUCAAGAUUGAAUAUGAGAUUGAAUAAGUGAUUUAGGUAUGUACGAGAUUCAUACGAGAACUGAGAAAAGGAAGUAUUUGAUGAAAUUAUGUGUGAAUUGGAAUAGAUGUACUUUGAGAAAGAUUUGUGUAACUAAAUGUGUUUAGUUAUAAUAUGCUUAGUUGGUGAGAAUGAUGUUGAUUAUGGAAUAGAUUUAUUUGUAUAUGGCUUACUAAGCUUUUAAAGCUUACUUUGUGUGUUCUUUCUAUGUUUUAUAGAUUAUCGAAGCUAGCUUGGACUCGGGGAUCGUCAGGUAGCAUCAUCACACUAUCUAUCAACUAGUUGGUACUUUUGAAGCUUUGAAAAUAUGGUAUAUGGCGUGUAUAGACUAGUGUCAUGUUGGUACGUUUUAAGUUAUGAUAUUAGCCAUGAGAUUUGGCUUGUAAAUGUUGAUAAAUAACGCCAUUUAAGUUGGUUUGAGUUAUAGGUUUAAUAUGUGAUACAUGAGUUGUAUAUAAUGUCUUAUGUGUUGACUUGUUUUUAUUUGGUAUGUGGUUGAUAUUAUGGUUAGAUAUAAAUUGUAGUAAGAUUGGAAUGAUGGCAUGUUGUGGCUUGCUUAUGUGAUAUUGAAACGGUAACUUUUCUGGCAUGAAAUAUGUGAUAAGGUGAUGAUGAAAUAUAUUUAGAGGUUAUGCAAGAUUAAUGAUUUUGGUAUAUUGUUUUGUUAUAAAUUUGGUUGAGAAUUUAAGUAGUGAAAUGAUUGACUAUGAAAUGAUAUGAAAUGUUGUGAAUUGACAUGUUUUGGAUGUCCAUUUUUGUGAUGAAAUGAUACCAUUUUAAUGGCUAGGUGAGCAUGGGAAAAAGGGUGGCAAAUUGGCUUUGCAAAUGACCUAUUUUUCUCCACACAAGUAGAGACACGAGCGUGUGUCUCAACUGUGUGCGACACACGGUCAUGUUACACUGCCGUGUCUCCCCUGGGGUACACUUCAAUUUAAAGUCAAUAUACCCUGUAGUUUUGACAUGGCCUAGACACACGAGCGUGUCUAUUGGUCGUGUGUGGUACACGGGCUGACACAUGGGUAUGUGGUCGGCCGUGUGGCCCCAGUCAGUAACCCCCCUUAGAUUUCACACGGCUUGGCACACAGGCGUGUCCUCGGUAGUGUGGUGCAAGUCAGUAUGUAUGCCCUGUUUUCACAUGGCUUGUGACACGGGCGUGUCUGGUGGCCAUGUGAGACACAUGGCCUGUUCACACGAGCGUGUGACCCUGAAAAGUUUGAAAAUUUUCUAACUUUCCUAAAGUUUGCAAAUGUUAUCGUUUUAGUCUCGAACCACUUCUAAGCAUGUUUUAAGGCCUCGUAAAGCCUUAUAAGGAACAAUUUGUUUGAUAUGAAUUUAUUCUGAUUAUGAAUGUGUAUAUGUAUGAAUUAUGUUGUGAUUGAUCGAAAAUGCCUCGUAACCUUAUUCUAGCUAAGAAUACGGGUUUGGGGUGUUACAAAUCUAAAAGGUGACAUACACUCAGUAAAGUGCUUAAAUAUAAGUACUAGAUUCUAUGUGUUUUGAAGUUUAAAGAUGAAUUUAAAAUAUGUAUGAUAAUUUUAUGACUUGUUUUUGGUCAAAUUUUGCUAUACUAUGUAUAAAUUGUGGAUUUAGCUCCUAUUCUUUUUUGAAUUUUGAAAUUCAAGUAUUGACCAAAUGAUAGUUGUUAAAUUUAUUAAGUUGUGCUAUUUUCAAAUUUUUAUAUAGGAAACAUAUUAUUACAUGUGUAAUGACAGGUCAAUUUGCUAUUUUUACAUAUUACUCACGAAAAAUCCAUUCAAUGGAUUUAACUAAUGUCAAUUUCGUCAAGAUUGAAAUCCUAAAACUUGAAAAGUAUAGGGAUUAAAAAUGAUCAAAAUGGAGAAUAUAAGCUAAAUCAAUAACUUUAAGCAUAGUACAAUACUAAUAGUAGAAUUUAACAAAUGAAUUUAAUUGUUACUAUUUUAGUUAGGAUUAAAAUUUUAAAAUUAAAAAAGUACAGGAGCUAAAAUUGACUAAUUUGAAAAAUAUAUGAACUAAAUUUAAUCAAAUAAAAGUAUAAGGACUAAAACCAUAAUUUACACAUAGUAUAGAGACUAAUAGUAGAAUUUGUUGGAUUUUGAUGGUUGAGUUUUCUUUUCUAUGAAAUAUUAAUAGUGGGGUUGUUAAUGGGGUGUUAUGUUAAGUAUGGUGAGCAUUAAGUCAAUAUUUGCUUUUCUUGUUCAUUAAUUUAAAAUUUAUGCAACUAACUUUAAUUAAUUGAAAAAGUAAUGAAAAAUAUCGCUUUGAAAAUAAUUUAGCAAUUUAAAUUGUUUUUAUGUUAUUUAGAGAAACAAAUUGAUUUUAGAGAUUAAAAGCGGAUGAUAAACGCUAUAUGUGAAAAGUGUAUAUUAGAAAAGAUUUUUUUUUUCUUUUGGUUAAAUGCUUACAUAUUUUACCCUUGGUUCUAGGUUUAAAUCCCAUCUCAUAUUUAUUUGUUCUCUUUUUUCUAAUGAAUGAUUCAAGCUUUUUUUUUAAAUAAAUAUGUUAUUUUCAAAUUUUUAAUUAACGAACAUGUUUUUAAGUUUUUAUUUUAUUUUUUAAUUAAUUCUUUAUAUAUAUAGACAAAAUAAUAUAUAUAAUUAUAUAGUGAAUAUAAAUUUAAAUAUAUAUUUUAAAAAAAUAUUGACUAAUUUUUUUAUAUAAUUCUUAUAUAUAAUUUUUAUAUGUCAAAUAUUUACUUUUUUCAAGUACAUUGUGGGUCUUAUAAAUUCUAAUAUUAUAAAAAUAAUUAUUUCAAUUAUAAUUAUUUUUUCACUUACAUUGUGUGUAUGGUAAAUCUAAUUUAUAAAAUCAAUUAAUUAUUUCAAAUAUAAUUAUAUUUAGUAAAUAAAAUUUUUAUAUGUGAUAUUUUUUCUAUCCAUAUCAUGGGUAUAAUAAAUUUUAGUAUUAUAUAUAUUUGUAUGUGUAUUUUAAAUAAUUAUUUGAAAUAUUUAUUUUUAUGAAUUGAAAAUAAUUAUUUUAUAAUAUUACAAUUCAUGAUACUCACAAUGUACGUAAAAAAGUAAAUAUUUGACAUAUAAAAAUUAUAUAUAAAGAAAAAUAUAUAAAAAAAUUAGUUGAUAUUUUUAAAAUAUAUAUUUUGUUAUGAAUAUCUUAUUAAGUGGAUGUCCAUCAUGAUUAAGAUAAAGUUCUGAUUUUUUUUAAAUUCUAAUAGUUAUUAAAAUUAGAUCUCUACUUCUUUUAUACUUCUUAUGCCUAUAAAUAAAGACUCUGAUGAAACAUUGUAGAUCAUCCUUUUGAUUAAUAAAGUAUAUUCUCUAUUGCUUUCAUUUUUUCUUUGUUCUUUAAUCUCUCCAUCUCUCUUUAUUUUAUACCACGUUAUUAGCACGAUGAUUCUCUAUUUUUUCAAAAUCUUUCGAAGUCGUCCCACAAAUCAAAUUCCUUUUCACCUUAAACUUCCACCCUUACAACUUCAUCUUCAGGAUGUUGAAAGAUUCAAUCUCAGAAUGGAUGCUCGUGAUAAUAGUCAAGGUGAUGAUGAUGAUGUUAAAAAUUUUCAGGUAUAUUUUACUAUGUUUUAUUUAUUAUAUCAUAUUUAUUAUAAUUGGAGAAUAAUCAUGACAACAUGAAUGGAUAGAUUCUGAUUUAAAAUCCACGUAUGUUUACUAUAGUGAUUAUGAAAUAAAAAAUCAAUAGAGGCGUUUAGAAGUCUGCCCUACUAGAUUUGUUACAUUUCCUGAAGUGAAUGCAAACAUAAAGAAAAUAAAAAAUAUAAUUAUGGACCACUAAAGAAAAUAAAAGAUAUAAUUAUGGACCACUAAAAGUGAGAACAGAGUAAUAAAUACGAGAACAAUGAAAGUUCUCAAGAUAACUUUUCAAAGGGUAAAUAUAACUUAUGUUAUCAAUGUAAUAUGAAAUAUUGUUGGCUUCAUAUGUGGCGUAUGCCCAAAUAUUUUUUUUCUGUUAAUAUUAUUUGAAGAAGGAUAUGAAAAUGUAAUAAUGAAUUCUAUCAUUAUAGAUAAAAUAUAUUUAUUUUAUUUUAUACUGAAACAAACAAAUAUUAUUCUAAUAUUUGAUAGUACAAAAUUAGUUGAAUGCUCCAGAAGAGCUAAUAUAUCAAUAUCUAAAAAGCACAAAAUUUGUGAUGAUAAAUGCAUUACUUUUAAAAUAUAUUUGUAAUGGAUCUAAUAUUAAGAUUGUGAAUGAUGAAAAUAUUAUAUUUCAUAUGAAUAAAAAAAGGAAUUGAGUUAUUAAUUUAUAUUUAUUUUAUAAUAUUUGUGAUUUUCUUUUGUCAUCAUCCCCAUUAAAGGGUUGAAAGUAAAAUAUUUAACUGUGAAAGAUCUACUUAUGAGCAAUAGAAUAUGAUAAUUCUAUCUAAAGCUUAUUAUGGUUGGAUACACUUAAAGUUGUAAGUUUUUUUUAAAAACAGUGAGUAUAACUCUAUAGUAUUCAAAAUAAGUUUUGAAUUAAAAUUACAUAGUAAAAUAUUACUGAUGAGAACUUAUAAGAGAGAAAACUUAUAUAUGAAAAGUCAUUGGUUAUGUACCUGUUGUACACCUGGAAAAUAAGAUCCACUCUCAAAGUUUGCUAUUAAUAGAUUUUUGGACAUUUAAAGAUUUUUAUUCCCUAAAGCGAAUACUGCAUAUAAUUAUUUGAAAAUUAUAUUUAUUGACUUAGUGACAUUAUAGACUUGACAUUGAUUUAGACAUUUCCAGUAGUAAAUGUCACAAUAGUAUUUAUAUGCGGAUACAAAAUAAAAAGAAUGACAAUAAAAUUAACAAUUUUCAAAAUUUAUAUUUACGUUAUUAGUACAAUUGAAAAACAUAUUAAAGUAAACCAGAAGUUUACUAAUACAAAUACAUUUACUAUUUGGCGUGACCAGUUAGACCAUUCUGGAUUAUAUAUGAUGCGAAAAUUAAUUGAGAAUUUAUAUGGACAUUCAUUAAAGAACCAGAAGAUUCUUUAAUUUAAAAAAAAUACUUAUUUGUUGUUUGUUCUCAAUGAAAAUUGAUUCCUAGAAACUCACUAGCUAAAGUUGAGAUUUAAUGUCUUGCAUUUAUGAAAUGAAUAUGGGUUCAUUCAUCCACCAUGUGGAUGGUUUUGAUAUUAUAUGAUUUUGGUAGAUGCAUCUACAAAAUAAUCACGUAUCUGUUAUCAACUUGCAACAUGUCGUUUGCAAGAUUGCUAGUUUAAAUAAUUAAUUUCAUAUCUUGCAAAUAAGACUAUUCAUCUUGCUAAUACUUAUGAGUUUAUAUCUCAGUUUUUUAUUGAUCGAGUUUGAAAGAUUUUUUAAAAGUUUGUUAUUUAUGCGCAUAAUGGUUUAGAGAAAUUAUUGAUUGAAUGCCUCUGGUUAAUGUCUAAACUAUUACUUAUGAGAUCAAAACUUCUUAUUUCAGCAUGAGAUUGUAUUGAUUUACAUAUUGUACCCAUCAAACAAAUACAUUAUAAAUACUCCCCAUUACAAUUGAUUUUUGGUUAAGAGCCAAAUAUUUCUCAUCUUACAAUUUUUGGAUGUGCGGUAUAUGUUCCAACUGCUCCAUCACAACGCACAAAGAUGGGUCAUCAUAAAAGAUUGGGAAUCUAUAUUUAUAUGAGUCUCCUUAUAAUAUUUUUGAGCUAUUAAUUCGAUAUUUAGUUAUGAAAUGAGUUGUCAGUUUUCCAAACAUUAGGGGAAGAGGAUAAAAAUUUGGAUUAAUAAAGUACUUGAAAUGAAUUAUCAAUGUCUAAGAUCCUCGUACAAAGCAAUGUGAACCGGAAGUUCAACAGAUAAUUAAUUUUACAAAUCAACUGUUAGAUUCAUUAAAUCUCACAUACUAAUUGAAAAUGCUCUAAUACGAAUUGAUGUCAUAAUAGGGGAAACUAUUAAUGGAAAAAAAAGUAAUCCAUGCAUGAAGCAUGGAAGACCGGUCGAUUCCGAAGAUAAAAAUUCUCGUAAAAGUAAAGGAGCAAAUAUUCAAGAUGGUCAUAUAGUGGAAGUAAGAGUUCCUGAAGAGACCCAUAAGAUAACUAAUUGUAAGACUUAAGAAGAGAUUUAGGUACCUAAAAGUGAAAAUGAAAAUGAUGAAAAUAAAGAGAUCUCGAUAAGUUAUGUCAAUACGAGAAAAAAGAUGGAACAAAAAAAGACGUAGUUGUCGACAACAAUUUUGCUAUUGAAAUAACAAAAGAAAAUGAGGAUUCUGAGCCUAAAUCUACUAAAGAAUGUAAAACUAGAAAAGAUUGUCCAAAAUAGAAAGAUGCAAUUGAAGUAGAAUUGAAUUCACUUUCUAAACGUGAAGUUUUUGGACCUAUAGUCGAAACACCUAAAGGUGUACAGCCGGUAGGAUAUAAAUGGGUAUUUGUUUAAAAACGAAAUAAAAUUGAUGAAGUCGUAAGAUAUAAAUCUCGCCUUGUAGCACAAGGAUUUUCGCAAAGGUCCGACAUUGAUUAUGAAGAGACAUAUUCUCCUGUGGUGGAUGCAAUCACGUUUAGAUAUCUUAUUAGUCUAGCAGUAUGUGAAAAACUUGACAUGUAUCUAAUAGAUGUUGUUACAUCCUAUUUAUAUGGUACACUUGAUAGUGAAAUUUAUAUGAAAAUCCCUGAAGGAUUUAAAAUCCCAAAAAACAUAUAGAGUUUCUUGAGAAAAUUGCUCGACAGAUUAAAGAAAAGUUUAUAUGGAUUAAAAUAAUCUGGACGUAUGUGGUACAAUCGUCUUUGUGAAUAUGUGUUAAAAGAAGGUUACAAAAACAAUCCAAUUUGUCCAUGUGUUUUUAUAAAAAGAUUUGGAUCAAAUUUUGUGAUAAUUGUUGUUUUAAUUGAUGAUCUAAAUAUUAUUGGAACUCCUAAAGAGUUUCAAAAUACAAUAAACUAUUUAAAGAAAGAAUUAGAGAUGAAAGAUCUUGGAAAAACAAAGUUUUAUAUUGGCUUACAAAUCGAGCAUUUAAAAGAUGAAAUUUAUGUUCAUUAAUCAACUUAUAAUUAAAAAAAUUUACAUGGAUAAAGCACACCCGUCAAGUACUCCGAUGGUCGUACGAUCAUUAGAUAUAAAUAAAAAUUAAUUUCGUCCUUACGAGAAUGAUGAAGAGUUUCUUGGUCCUAAAGUACCAUAUCUAAGUGGUAUACGUGCAUUGAUAUAUCUUGCAAACAACAGAAUACCUGAUAUAGCUUUUGCUGUAAACUUGUUAGCAAGAUUCAGUUCUUCUCCAACACAUAGACAUUGGAAUUAAACAUGUAUUUAGAUAUCUCAGAGGGACCAUUGAUAUGUGGUUAUUUUAUUCAAAUGAUUCAAAAUUCCUAUUAGUUGGCUAUGUUGAUGCUGGAUACUUAUUAGAUCCACAUAAAUGUCGAUCUCAAAUAGGAUAUUUAUUUACAUAUGGGUACUACCAUAUCAUGGCAUUCAACAAAUUUGUUCUAGUGAUAAUUUAGUAGAUCUUUUUACUAAGAUAUUGCCAACUUUAACAUUUGAAAUACUACUACACAAUAUUGGAAUGCGUCAACUCAAAAUGUAAUGUAAUGUUGCCAUUAAGGGGAGUCUAAAAUAAGUUGUACUCUUUUCCUUUAACCAUGGUUUUGUCCCAUUGGGUUUUCCUAGUAAAGGUUUUUAAUGAUGCAACUUGUGAUAGAAGAUUGUGUACUCUUUUUCAUUUAUUAGGUUUUUAUCUCACAGGGUUUUUUCUAAUAAGGUUUUAAUGAGAGACAUUAUCUACCAAUGGUCAUCCAGGGGGUGUUAUGAAUAUCUUAUUGAGUGGAUGUCCAUCAUGAUCAAGAUAAAGUUUUGGUGUACUUUAAGUUCUAAUAGUUAUUAGAAUUAGAUCUCUACUUCUUUUAUACUUCUUAUACCUAUAAAUAGAGAUUCUGAUGAAGUAUUGUAGAUCAUCCUUUUGAUUAAUAAAGUACAUUCUCUAUUACUUUCAUAUUCUAUUUGUUCUUUAUUCUCUUCGUCUCUCUUUAUUUUAUAACAUAUUUAAAAUAAUAAUAUAAAAAAAUGUGAAGUAACAUUUAUUAGAAAAAAAAAAUCAAAUAAACAUGAGAGGAGAUUUGAACUUGGGAUCAAAAGGUAGAAAAUGCAAGCAAAUAAACAGGUUGUGGUAUAAAGUGUUUACAAGACAUUUUUUUGUGAAAUUAUCUUCUAACUCAAAAAACAAUCUAUUUUUCUAAAUAAUAUAAAAAAUCUCAAAUUGUUAAUUUAUUUUAUUUAAAAAGAACAACCUUUUCACUAAUUUUACCUUAAUUAAUAAUAUCAAACAUGUGUAAAAUUCAAAUCUGAAAUCUUUAUAACAUAUUUCUCUCGUGUUCUAUGAUUUGCUCUGAAUUAGAAUCAUUAAUUACAACAAAGGCAAGUACUUAAAAACUAAAAGCAUGUGUUCUUAUUUGACUGGUAUAACUAAAAUGUUUAACUUUCACGUUCAUCCAUCUUCAAUUGUUCACAAAUUUUACAUUUGUACCUAUUGAGUAGUUAUUUAAAUAUUUUUAUCUGCUUUCUAUUUUAAUAUUUAAUGGGAUAUUUUUAUUAAUGACCUUUUUAUUUUCAUCAAAAUUUUUAAUGUGGAACCAAUACUUUCAAAACUUCAAUUUAGUAUCUAAAAUUUUAUUUCUUCUAUUAAUGUGAUACAUUGAAAUUUUACAUAAUGUGUCUCGCCAUUAUUUUAUUUAACUAAUUCAAAUGACCAAAACACAAUUAUACCAACUUCAUUUUAACAAAUAAAUAAAUAAAAUCCAUUAAUAUCAUUUGAAAAUUGUAUUUUUUAUCUUCAUAUUUGUUUUACAGUCUAUAUUCGAGUUUUGUUACUGUCCCUCCCAACAAUGUGGACUCCACAAUUUGAACUGCGUUCUCUCUUCGAGAAUAUAAUGUGUCUUACCAUUACAUCCAUCACUUGUUUUAACGUUUAAGAAACUGACAUUCAUUAUAUUCCAAAAAGGGUUAAAACUUAAUUUAAUCCUAAAAUUGUAUCCAAUUAUUAUUUUAGUAAGUAAAGGUUUUUUUAUUUUUAUUUUGUUAACUAAAGUUGCAAAUUAUUAUACACGUUACCCAACCAUUAACGACGUUACCAAAAAAAAUUAACAUUACAUUUUUUGUAACACCCCAAACCCGACCUGGACGUUAUGACUAGAUCUGGAGAUGCUAUGUAAACCAGUUGUAAAUCCGGCUUUCAUUUAUUUGAAAAAAACUUCAUGUAAUUUUGUUACUUAAAAGCCCGUUUUAUUAAAAAAUGUGUUUGACAUAUUUAUUUAGUUAAAAACAUAGUUUGUUUACAUUUUCUAAAUAAAUCGAAUACUUUGCAGCAGAAAUUCUUAGAUCAUCAUAUUUUGAAAACCAAUUUUGUUUUCUCGAAAACAGUUGGUUGCAGGAAAAUAAUCUUUUUUGCUAAAUCGUUUUAUCAAUUUUCAUGCAAAAGUCCAGAAUAAAAUCCAAAAACCGAGACAGUCCCAAAAUGUCAAAAUAGUCCAAAUUUUACAAAAUCCUUAAUCCAAUUUAAAAUGGUCAAAGUAUCAAAAUACUAAUAUAACCAAGCUCUCGAUGCACCGACCCGCCCAAGUCUAAGGAUUACUUGAAAAUAUCAGUGAAAUCGAGAGUAAGUUUUGAAACUUAGUGUAUAACGAUAAACUUAACACAAUAAAUUAUAUAUUUAUAGCAGAGCAGAGCAGAUGCAAAACAUAAUCCUACCCACAACCGCUACACACCAACUCCGUCCAUCCCAACACACCAUAUAGGUAUAAAUCAUCCAUCCAUCCCAACGCACCACAUAGUGUCCACAGAACACUUUACAGAAUAGUUGCAGCUGAGCUGCCGGAUCAAUAGGUGAUUUAUCGCCUUUACUGAAACACUUCCUCCAUAUGCCAUUCACAACCUGACCCAGAUGUAGAUGCAGAGUACAUAAAAUACUAUACAUGUUUAGAGCAGAAAUUAAACGUGACAUAGCUUUACAUGCAUAACAUAUCAGAUACGAACCACAUACUUAUCAUACGUAUUCAUUAUUCUUACGGAUAACAUAAUUGUACCAACAGAUGUCCAGAUUUCAUGUCUUAUAAUAUAUUUAGUCACAUAACGACCCUACGAAAGGCCCAUGAUAGUUCAAGACAACGUGUACGGCCUUAGGGAAAAAUCCUGAAUUUUGGGCCCACACGGCCCAAAAUAGCCCAGGCUGCGUGUUGCACAUGGCCCAACACACAGUCUAUCACACUCCGUGUGUCAUACACGGCCUACCACACGACUGUGUGGCAUCAUUAGUGCCCAAUUUUGGCUUUCACUGUUUGCUAUUUUUGAGUUUCUCGUUACACACAUGGCUCGAUUUUGAUACAAAUUCAACUACAUGAUUCCCAGUACCUAAAAAUAGUAUCCCAAUGAUUAAUUUAGUAGUCGAUUUCCAAAUUCAAACAAGAAUUGACCGAAAACUUAGCCUCUCAAUUUUGAACAAAGCAUACGUACACUUACGGUCAACAAACAACAACCACAUGACACUUAAAUCGUUGGAGGAACACCGAUCGUGUCUUGAUUUUCCUCUAAAAAUGUACCAGAAUAAUUACGAACCCAAAACACUUCUUCAUAACCCCAUCGUCUAGAAAUGUUUGCAAACCAUAUCCUUAUAAGAACGAAUGAAAAGAAAACUUACCUACCACAACUUGUAGUCAACAGAUCAAUAACUACAGUUCCAAGCAAAUUUAUCAAAACGAAAAGGAAAUAAAAUAAAGUAGCAGUGCAAAAAAAAAAACUAAACAAAGAGGGUAAAACAUAAUUUAAACAAAAACAUGGAGUUUGGAAAAGAUGAAAGAUGGGUAGAAGACUUGAAGAAAGAAAAGAAAAGAAUUAAUUAAAAUAAAAUAAAAUAAAAGGUUAAGUGAAACAUGGAAGAUGAGGGAAACGUGUCUAUCCAUCCUAUUUUUAGGAAUUUGAAACAAAAUUAAACAAAUAGAUUAAGAUAAUAAUAAUAAAAGAUAAAAACCACCUAACCAGCCUUAUUCUAAAAUCUUAUCAGACUUCUUAUUUGAUUAAAACACACCCAAAUUCUACUAUCCAACGAUUCUAUCAAUAAAAGCAAAAAUAUUGACAUUUCACCCAUGCCGAGAUUCGAUCAUAAAACCCGAGGGUAAGCUAACACGUUAUCACCGAAUCAGCAAGCUCAUUCUGACAUAUAUUUAAUGAAAACAAGAUUGAAGUCACAAAUACCAAGAUAGGGAUAGAGAUAGAAAUAACAAAAAUUUCAAAGAUUGAGAUUUGUACCCAAGACUUUCAACACAUACCCAAACCCCUUAACCACUGAACCAGAUACUUAAUUUUUGAUAUAAUCUAACACAUCAUAAAUACUAAUUUUUGGGCAUUACAACUCUCCCCUUUAAAAGAAAUUUCAGCCUUGAAAUUUACCUGCCUCAAAUAGAUGCAGAUAUUGUUGUCGAAUUGAGUCUUCAGGUUCCUAUGUAGCUUCCUCUGUGCCAUGAUUCCGGCAUAGAACCUUAAGUAAUAGAAUAGAUUUCCUCAUCAAAAUCUUAACAUCUCAAUCUAGAAUCCAAAUCAAUUCCUCCUCAAAUGUCAAAUCUGGUCUAACCUGUAACAACCCGUUUUUAGUCAAAUCAAAAUAGUGGUUUUGAGACCAAAAAUCUGAAGUCAAAAUAAUUAUUUUAUUAUUAUUUUAAUGUCUACAGUAUGAUAAUAUGAAUGUGUGAAAUUUUUUUUAAGAAAUUUUAUCGUUUGAAUGCUUAAUUUGAUAAAAAGGACUAAAUCACGUAAAAUGUAAAACUUGUGUUCUAUUAGUUAAAAGUGUCUAAUAGCUAUGGAAUAUUAAAGUGGAGGUCCUUAUGUAGAAAUUAUACCAUUUUCAAUGAUAUUAGACAUUUAUGUACAUGGUUUAAGUGAAUUUUAAUGGUUUAAUUAAAGGUUAAAUAAGUAAAUUAUUAAAUAAACAUAGUAAAAAUAAUAAAACAAAAUAAGCUUCAUAUUCAUCUUCUUCUAGCCGAAUGUGAAGGAGAAGAAAACACCAUUUUUGAGCUUCAAAAUUCAGCUAUCUAUCCUUGGUGCAUGUAAGUCCAUUUUUGUCCCGUUUUUAAUGAUUUCUAUGUUUUUGAUAUUGUUACAGCUUAGGCUAGCUAGCACAGGGACUAAUUUGCAAAAAUGUUAAAGGUUUAGGAUUUUUCAAUUGAUGAAUGUUGAUGUAUUUUGAUGUUUAAUAGUAUAAAACACAUACUUGUUGUUAGAUAAACAACAUUUGUUAAGUGAUUUUUAGUAAAAUGUCUAAUUAGAGAUUAAUUUGUGAAAUGUUGAAAUUUGGUGGUUAAAUUGUGAAAUAAAUGAAAAAUAUGGGCUGCUAGGGACCUAAUUAAAAUUUGGUUAGCAUGGGUUUUGGUUGAAUUGCACGAAUUGAUGAUUUUAUGAAAUAAGGACUAAAUUGUAAAAAUGUUGAAAUAUUAUGGGAAAAAGUGUAAAUGUGCCUUAAUGUGUGUUUUGGACUAAAUUGAAUAGAAUGAUUAUUGAAAAAUUUAAUUUUUAUUAAAUUUAGAUCAAGAAAGGUGAAAUACAGAUUUAAAUUAGAGAAAGAACAAAGUUUUGGAUUAAUCAACUUAAUUUGCCGUUUUUGCAUUCGAGGUAAGUUCAUAUGUAAUAAGUAUUGUUAUAUUUGUGUUUUAAAUGCUUUAAUAUUGCAUAAAUUGUGAACACGACAUUGCGAACUUAUUCGACGAAGAUUCGACGUUGGAAAUCUUGGUUGAACCUUUAAAAUAGAUUAGGAUAUGAAUGACAUGUUAUUAGGGGUUAUUAUUGUUCUGAGUGCUAGUCCAUACGUCUUACCGGUGGCUGAGUUAUCCAGCAUGUGUUGCGGAUUCUUGUCAGCUUGUGUGAGUAGCACCGUGUAGUUACGUCAUGACCGUCAGCUUGUGUGAGCAGACCCAUUGAUAGCUCGAGAGUGAGCAUUAUUGAAAUAUGAUAUUGAGAUAACUUUGGCUAUAUAUAUUGGCACUUAGGGUGCCAGAUUCCCGAGUAUCCUGUAUUAUUCCAAAUAGUUCAACGGGUAUAUUAAAGAUAUGAAAUGGUGAGAAAUUGAUAUGUAUCAAUACAGGUAUGUAUGGAAACUAUAUAUGUAUCUAACAUAUGGAAGCUUUGAGUUCAUGGUUAAAUAGACGAUUGAAUACAUGUUAACAUUGUGGUUAAAUAUUUUGUGGUAUGUUAUAUGCAUAUUUUGAAUGGUAAUUAAAUGGUGAGUUUUGCUUAUUAUUUUCAUACGAGCUUACUAAGCUUUAUAACUUACAUUGUUUAUUUUUUUGUGUUUUAUAGUGAAAUCAAAGCUAGCUCAGAUUCGGGAUUUUCGGAGACUUCAUCACACUAUCCAACUAUCACUUUGGUACAUUUGAACUUAAGUAUUUUGAGUAUAUGGUAUGUAUAGGGAUUUUGGGUCAUUUUGGUAUAUGUGUUGAUAAUGAAUUUAGCCAUUGGUAUUGGCUUGUAAAUGUCUAAAGUUUAUUUUUGCAUAUAGCCAUGUGAGUUGGCUUAUUUUGGUAUAUUUGGUCAUGUAUAUAAAUGUGUAUAUGGUUUGUGUGAUAUGUUGGAUAAGGGAUAUGUGAUGUUUGUUGAUAUUAAGUAUUAUGGAUAGCAAAUGGUUGAGUUAUGAAUAUUGUUAUGCUAGUGAAUCUAGGCAAAUAAUUCAUAUUUGAGAUUAGUUAUUUUUUAUGUUUUGUGAAAGUGAGUUUUAUAUGAAAUUGAAUGGCAUUUUGUGAUAUUGUAUGCCUUGUAAUUGUUGGUGUUGGAAAAUGGUAUGAUUUAUGCUUGGUUUAGAUUAGAUGAAUGCCUAUAUAUGCUAUGAUUUGGUGCCAAAUGGGUUGGUUUAGGUGUGUGCAAGUUUGGGUGGCAAAAUGGCUUGGUAAAUAGCCUAUUUAUGUCCACAAGGGUAGAGACAAGGCAUAUAUCUCAGCGUGUGUGACACACAGUAAUGUUACACGGCCGUGUGUCCCCUGGUGUUGAAUUAAAAAUCAAGUCAGUAUGCUCCACAUUGCCCAGCACACGGGCGUGUGACUUGGCCGUGUUGCAUAAAUCAGUAUACCCUAUAGGUUUGGCACGGCCUAGCACACGGGCAUGUGUGGCCAUUUUUAGGGCACACGGGCUAGUCACAUAGACGUGUGUGUUGGCCGUGUGACCCAAGUCAGAGAGUUACACUGGGUUGGACACGGGUUGGGAUACGGCCAUGUGAUCCCAUUUUGAAUGUCCACAUGGCUUAUAACACAUACGUGUCUCACACUGGGCCACACAGGCCUGUGUCCCUUGUAUUUUGUAAAAUUUUCUAAGUUUCCCUGAAAUUUCAUGAGUUAUCGGUUUAGUUUUGAACCUUCCCGCAUGCAUGUUUUGGGCCUCGUAGGCUCGUAAUAGGGAACAAUAUGAAUGAUUUUGAGUGAUGAUUAAUUGAAUUUGAGAAAUAUAUAUGAAAUGUAUAAUUAUUUGUGCUAUAAGUCUAGUAAUGCUCCGUAACCCUAUUCCAGCAUUGAAUACAAGUGAGGGGUGUUACAUAACCUCAAUCUCCUCGAGAGAAACAAUAUAAGAUAGAUCUGACUGAUAUCGUCUCAACAUAGAGACGUGAAAAACAUUAUGAAAUGAUCUAACUCUAGAGGUAGCUCCACCUGAUAAGAAAUCGAUCCCACGCAUUUCAGAAUUUGAUACGACCCAAUGAACCUAGGGCUCAACUUGCCCUUACAUCCAAACCUUAAAAUUAUUUUCCAUGGAGAUACCUUAAGAAACACAUAAUCACCCACGGAGUACCCAAUGUCCCACCUUUUCAAAUCUGCAUAGAACUUCUGUCUAUCAGAAGCCACUUUAAGACGAUUCCGAAUCAGUGUAACUUUAUCCCCAGUUUCAGAAGCCAACUCAGGACCCAAAAUCUGUCGCUCACCCAACUCAGUCCAACACAACGGAAUACAACACUUACAACCAUACAAAGCCUUGUAAAGUGCCAUCUGAAUACUAGACUGGAAGCUGUUAUUGUAGGCAAAGUUGGCUAACAGCAGAAAAUCCUCCUAACUACCUUGAAAAUCGAUCACACAACUCUAAAGCAUAUCCUCCAGUAUCUGAAUUACCCUAUCAGAUUGACCAUCUAUUUGAGGAUGGAACGCAGUACUGAAGUCCAACCUCGAACCAAGAGCCUCAUAAAGUUUCUUUCAAAACUGAGAAGUGAAGCGAAGAUCUCUAUCAGAAAUAAUCGAGACCGAUACCCCAUGAAGUCUCAUGAUCUCGACAACAUACAACUUGGCCAACUUCUGAAGAGAGUAAUCUGUCCGAAAAAGAAUAAAGUGGGUAGAUUUGGUUAACCGAUCUAUGAUGACCCACACAAAAUCCUUCUUUGUAAGUGUUAACGGUAACCCACUAACGAAGUCUAUAGUCACACGUUCCUAUUUCCAUAAGAGAAUCUUAACUAGUUGAAGUAAACCUGAAGACAACUAGUGUUCAGCCUUAACUUGCUGGCACGUCAAACACCAAGAAACAAAAUCUGCCACCUCUUAUUUUAAACCAGGCCACUAGUACAUUUCACAAAAAUCUCGAUACAUUUUAUUUCCACCAGGAUGCAUAGCAAACAGGCUACUAUGCACUUCCUACAGAAUGGACUAUCUCAAAUCAGAAUCAUUAGGUACACAAACCCGUCUUUGGAAACACAUAACCCCCUCACUAUUCAACCCAAAAUUAGACGUACUACCAUUAUCCACUUGACGGACUCCCAUAAGAGAAUCAUCCCCCAAUUGUUUAUCUCGAAUCUGAUCAAUCCAAAUUAGCUUAACUUGCAACUAAACUAACAGAAUUCUAUCAUCAAACAGACUUAGGCAAGCAAACACAACCCUCAAAUCAGUUAUUGCCUUACAACUAAGAUCAUCGGCGACCACGUUGGGCUUACUAAGAUGAUACUCAAUAUUGCAGUCGUAAUCUUUAAGCAGCUCAAUCCAUCUACAUUGCCUAAGGUUCAACUCCUUUUGGGUAAAGAGAUACUUGAGACUCUUGUGAUCAGUGUAAAUGAUGCAUCUCUCACCAUAUAGAUAGUGCCUCCAAAUCUUUAAGGACAAUACAACUCCAACUAACUCAAGAUUGUGCACAGGAUAGUUGCCCUCGUGUAACUUAAGCUGUUAAGACGCAUAAGCCACUACUUUACCAUAUUGUAUCAGAACACAACCCAAACCAACAUGAGAUGCAUCACUAUAUACCACGAAUUCCUUACCAGAUUCGGUCUGUAUCAAAAUAGGAGUCUGAGUCAAAAUAGAUUUGAGCUUCUAAAAACUCGAUUGUUGCUCCUCAGUCCAAAAAAAUGGGGCGUUAUUACGCAAUAGCUUAGUCAGAGGAGUUGCGAUAAGUGAGAACCCCUCGAAAAAUCUCUGAUAAUAACCCGAAAGCCCAAGAAAACUAUAGAUCUCAAAAACAUUCCUAGGUUUUUUCCACUCAAGCACAGCCUCAAUUUCCUAGGAUUAACUCAGAUUCCCUCCAUAGAAACCAAAUGCCCUAGAAAAGUCACCUCCCUUAACCCGAACUCACAUUUGCUCAACUUAACGUAGAGCUAUUUCGCUCAGAAAAUCUGAAGAACCACUCUAAGAUGCUCAUCAGGAUCAUUUUCAGUCUUAGAGUACACCAGAAUAUCAUCGAUAAAGACAACGAUAAACUGAUCUAAAUACGGCUUCAAAACCCUGUUCAUAAAAUCCUUGAAUACAGCCAGAGUAUUCGUCAAACCAAAGGGCAUAACUAGGAACUCAUAGUGCCCAUAACAAGUCCUAAAAGCAGUCUUAUGGACAUCAACCUUCUUAACCUUAAGCUAAUGGUACCCAUAACAGAGACCUAUAUUGGAAAACACAGAAGGCCCAUGAAACUAAUCAAACAAAUCAUCGAUCAUUAGAAGUGGGUACUGAUGGUAGUCGAUAAAAAUUCUCAUGGUACCAUCAUUCUUCUUUACAAAUAAAAAUGGUACCCCCUAAGGAGAUACACUAGGACGGAUAAACCCUCGAUCAAGGAGUUCCUGAAGCUGAGCUUUUGACUCCAUAAGCUCUUUCGGUGCCAUACGGUAAUGAGCAAUAGACAUCAGAGCUAUACUCGAUAGAAGCUCGAUACCAAACUUGACCUCCCAGUCUGGAGGCAAACUUAGUAACUCCUGGAGAAAAACAUCCAGAAACUCUUUAAUCAUUCGAAUAUCCCCAAUAGACAAACCCACAGAAGCUGAAUCACCCAUAAAAUCCAGAUAUGCUUCACACCCUUUUCGUACCAACUUUUUGGCCACGAGAGUAGAGAUUACAUUGGAUAAGUAAUCUCGACGCUCGCCAAUAAUAACCACCUUCACAUCAUUCUCAGAUCUCAGAACUACCCUCUUAGUAGUAUAAUCCAAAUUGACUUGAUACUACACGAGCCAGUCCAUCUCCAAAAUCAGAUCAAAUUCCCCAAAUGGUGGCUCCAUCAAAUUAGUUGGAGACACAACACCUUGUAUCUCUAAUGGUACAUUCCUAUACAGUCUGUUAACCCGAAUGGAUUGACCUAACGGGCUAAGUACAAUAAUCUCUCCAGAAGCGCUUUCAUCCGAAAUCCCCAGGUUUACAUAAGCAAAGCUAGCUACAUAGGAAUGUGUUGACCCUAUAUCUAUCAAUGCAAAAUAAGGGGAAGUAUGAAUAAAAAAACCAAAAAUAAUAUCAGCAACGUCUCUAUCCUCACGGCAUCUAAGAUCAUAAACCAACGUAGGCGACCUCGCUUUAGUCUGAUUAGCACCUCUAUCCGGUGCUCACUACUCUAUGCCUAUACCAUUUCCACCCGUAGCCGGACCAUAGCCCCUAGGCGGUUGCUGAACCGUUCACUGUGGUUGAACAAAUUUCAUAGCUGGAACUUGUAUCUGACUAGAAUGCUAUAGGCAAUCCCUGAUACGGUGCUUCAUUAACCCACAUCGUAGACAUGAUCCUAACCUCCUCAAACAUUCGCCCGAAUGGCAUCUACCACAAUCCCUACACGAUUGAGCCACGUUAGGUGCAAUUGGAACCUCAACUCUCGAAGGCCUAUCAGACCUGGCCCGUUUCUUAGGCCUUUGAACAGAACUAGAGGGCUCCAAAUCCCUCUUAUUCUUACCCCUCUCACACUCCCUAUUUUGGCACUCAACGUGCUUAACCUCUUCAGCGAUCUUCACCUUAUCCACUAAGAUGGGAAAUUCUCGCUCCCUCUAUGGAGCUAUCAGAACCCUCAGAUUAUUCUUUAAACCUUCUUCAAAGUGAACACACUCCACAUACUCAGUUGGCACCAUCCCACAAGCAUAACGACUCAGUCUAAUUACCUAGGCCUCAUAUUCGGCUAUAGUCUUGUCCCACUGGGUAAGGUUCAUAAACUCGCGUCUAUGAGCAUCCACAUAACUUGCCCCCACAUAUUUACUCUGGAAGGCACUCUUAAACUGUCCCCAAGUAAUUCGAUCCGGCUGAGUACACUCAUCAACCGUUAACCACUACUGAUAUGCCUUAUCACGAAGUAGAGAUAUUACACCCUUCAAUUUUUGGUCAGGGGUGCAGUCGAUAUCAUUCAUAAUUCUCUCUGUGGCUUCCAACCAAUACUUGGCCAUAGUCGGGACAACUCCAGUGACACCCCUAAACAACUCUGCGCCAGUGGACCGAUGUUGUUUAGUUACCAACCCAUGGUUCCCAGAACAAGAAUGGGGCCUAGCAAACCUCUCCACAACUCUAAGCAUAGCCGGGGACAGUGCAUUGUCCCCAAUCGAGCGACUUUGAAACCUGAUCUCAACAGUAGGUGUAGGCAGCACCUCAUCGUAUCCAGAUUGGGCAUGCUACCCAUCGAGGACGACUUAACUCAAGCCCCUCUAUGGUGUCCGUUGCACCCACAGGUACCGCGUCCACGUGUUCCACCAGUACUCAUCAUAUUCAUAGAUUAUCUACAUUACUAAGUUUUAUGUAUCAGUUCCAGUUUUUAUUAGCAGUUAUUUUAUGCUUCAAAUUAUUAUCAGAAGAAAUUUUAAAAAUCUCAAAAAUGUUUCAAUAUCUAACUAUCUUAUUACGAUAUUAAUCGUUUCAGAGUUUUCUAAAUUAAAAUAUUUCUAAGUCAGAAGUACUUACAGGAUCGGCGCUCGAGACUCGAUAUUCCACAAACUUACUUUUCAGAUUCAUUUUAAAAAAAUAAACUUUACUCAGAAAAAUAACUUUUGCAAAUACAAUUUUGAACCUAAAAUUUCACAGCUCGAGUUUUAUAACAUGACUCUGAUACCACUAAAUGUUACACCUUAAACCCAGCUUGGACAUUAUGGCUAAAUCUGAAGAUACUACGUAAAAUAGUUGUAAAUCCAGCUUUUGUUUAUUAGAAAAAAAAUUCAUGUACGUUUGUUACUCAAAAGCCUGAUUUAUUAGAAAAUGUGUUUGACAUAUUUAUUUAAUUAAAAUGUAGUUUGUUUACAUUUUCUAAAUAAAUCGAAUACUUUACAAUGAAAAUUCUCAGAUCAUUAUAUUUUGGAAAACCAAGUUUGUUUUCUCGAAAACAGCUGGUUGCAAGAAAAUAACCAUUUUUUCUAAAUCAUUUUAUCAAUUGUCAUGCAAAAGUCCAGAAUAAAAUCCAAAAACCGAGACAAUUCCAAAUGUCCAAACAGUCCAAAUUUUACAAAAUACUUAAUCCAAUUUAAAAUAGUCAAAGUAUCAAAAUACUAAUAUAAUCGAGCUCCCGACGUACCGACCUGCCUAAGUUUAAGGAUUACUUAAAAAUAUAAAUGAAACCGAGAGUGAGUUUUGAAACUCAGUGUGAUAAACUUAACACAUUAAAUUACAUAUCAGACAAAUCCAUCAAAAAUAGAUUUAUAACAGAUUAAGACAGAUGCAAAACAUAAUCCUACCCCUAGUUGCUACAUACAAACUUCGUCCUUCCCAACACACCAUAUGGAUAUAAAACACUCAUCCAUCCCUACACACCACAUAGUGUCCAUAGGACACGUUACAGAAUAAUUGCAGCUCAAUUGCCAGAUUAAUAAGUGAUUUAUCGCUUUUUAUAGAAUCACUUCCUCCACAUGCCAUUUACAACUCGACCCAGAUGCAGAGUACAGCAAAUAUUAUACAUGUUCAGAGUAAAAAUUAAACAUGACAUAGCUUUACAUGUACAACAUAUCAUAUACGAACCACAUACUUAUCAUACGUAUUCAUUAUUCUUAUUGAUAACAGAAUUGUACCAAUAGAUGUCCAGAUUUCAUGUCUUAUAAUAUAUUUAGUCACAUAUCGACCUUACGGAAGGCCCAUGACCGUUCAGGAUGACGUGUACGACUCUAGGGAAAAAUCUUGAAUUUUGAGCCCAUAUGCUCGUUUGGCCCACAUGGCCCAAAUAGCCCAAACCGUGUGGCCCAUACGGCCUAGCACACGACCCACACACGGCCCAAAAUAGCCCAGAUUGUGUGUCGCACAUAGCCCGGCACAUGAUCUAUCACACGGCCAUAUGGCGUCAACAGUGCCCAAUUUUUAGCUUUCGCCAUUCACUAUUUCUCGAGCUUUUUUGUUACACAACUGGCUCGAUUUUGAUACGAACGCAACCACAUGAUUCCCAGUACCUAGAAAUAGUAUCCGAACAAUUGAUUUAAUAAUUGAUUUCCAAAUUCAAACAAAAAUUGACUGAGAACUUAGCCUCUCAAUUCUGAACAACGCGUACGUACAUUUACAAUCAACGAACAACAACCACACGACACUAAAAUCGUUGGAGGAGCACCGAUCGUCUCUUGAUUUUCCCCUAAACUGUACUAAAAUUAUUACGAACCCAAAACACAACUUCAUAACCCCAUCGUCUAGAAAUAUUAACCCCAUCGUCUAGAAAUAUUUGCAAACCAUAUCCUUAUAAGAAUGAACAAAAAGAAAACUUACCCUCAACUUGCAGUUAAUAGAUCAAAAACUACGGUUCCAAGCAAAUUUAUCAAACACGAAAAGGAAAGAAAAUAAAGUAACAACGCAAAAGAACUAAACAAAGAGGGUAAAACAUAAUUAAACAAAAACGUGGAGUUUGGAAAGGAUGAAAGAUAGGUAACAGAACUGAAGAAAGACAAGAAAAGAAUUAAUUAAAAUCAAAUCAAAUAAAAUAAAAGGUUGAGUGAAACAUGGAAGAUAGAGGGAAUCGUGCCUAACCACCCUAUUUUUGGGAAUUUGAAACAAAAUUAAACAAAUAGAUUAAGAUAACAAUAAUAAAAGAUAAGAACCACCUAACCAACCUUAUUCUAAAAUCUUAUUAGACUUCUUACUUAAUUAAAACACAAUAAUAAAAGUUACUACUUAAUUUUUUAUAUAAUCUAACACAUUAUAAAUACUAAUUUUAGGGCAUUACAUUUUUUUUCAAAAUAAUUUUUUUAAAAAAGAGAAAAAAAACAAAAAAAAAUCUCAUGUUUUUUAAAAAAUUAGAAAAUUUUUAAAAUUAAAAAACCCAGACUUCUCUUUUGUAAAAAUACAUAAAAUUAAAAAAAUAGAAAAUAAAGAAAACUUCAAAAAAAAUUGGGAAAACACAAAAUAAUAUAGAUAAAUAGAUAAAUAUCUAUAGUAAUUUUUAUUAACCUUAAAAAAUUUUCUAUUUCUUACCGAAAUUAGCUUUUAAUUUUUUUAAAAUAAAUUUUUAUAGUUUUUAUUUUUUGAAAAUUUAGCCGCCGAAGGACUAAAAGAGUUCUUUUAAUUUGCAAUAUAUCAUGUUUCAUGUGCUUUAAAAAAAUUUCUUACUUUUUUUUAAAAUUUUAUAUAUUUUUAAAAAUAAAAAUAUAUUUUAUAAUUUUUGAAAACAUUUAUAAUUUUUAAAAAUUUUCUUCUUUUUUUUUUAGAAUUUUUUUCUGUUUUUGAAUUCUUGCUUUUAUUUUUUAAUUUAUUUUGAAAAAACAGUGCAACAAGACAGCUCCCAACAUGCCACAUUAGCAUUUUUUUUAAAUAGAGUUGGACCUUGUCUAAAAUUGAUAUUAAAAAAAUUUAAAUACCAAAGUUAUAACGCUCCAAAAUUUUAAUUUUUGAUUUUGUGUAUGUGUGACUCACGAUUGAGUAUUUGCUUUAGUGGUUAAGUGUUCUGGGUGUGUGUAAGAGGUCCCAAGUUCAAGCCUUAUUUGGGCAAAUUUUUGUAUUUUUAUAAAUAAAACCUUAACCUUGUACAAAGGGCUUAAGUUUAAUUAUUGGUAAGUUUAUAUUAGAAUGAGCUUGUUGGUUUGGUGGUUAAUUGGAGUGUUGGAGGUCCUGUGUUCAAUUCUUUGUAAUAGCGUGGAGACAGUAUUUUUGCUCCAAUUUCGGCUAAGAGUUGUGUUGGGGCAAAAUUCUGAGUAGUUGUGUUUUAGUGGGUUAAUAGAGACUGAUUUUAGGAGAUAAUUGGGAAGAGGUUAUCAGAAAAUAAUCUGAUUAUCUUUUUGUUGCAAAAAUAAAAUAAUAAUAAUAGAGUUUCAGUUUUCUCUCCAAUUCCCUAAACUUUUUCUGACGUUCUCAUUCUUCUUCUUUUUUUCUCUCCUCUGUCGAUUCUUUCCCCUAAUUGCUACCAAAAUUUCCAUUAUUUUUUCCCCUUCCGUUUCUUUCAAUUUUUUCCAAUUGAUUCGGUUGUUCAUCGUUGGUUGCGCAUGUUCGGUAAGUAACGAUUUUUUCUAUUGUUAAUCAUUCUUGGUUAAUCUCUAAAAGGGAGAUUCCUUUUUAGUGUUUAGGAGUUAAUUAAGAGGCUGGUGGUUUUGAAUUGACACUGUGAUUAUGCGAAGUCAUGGUUACUCAAGUAAGGUAAUGGUUUUGUUAGGUUUUUAGUCGAGUUCCUUCCGAAAUUGGUUGAUUAAAAAUGAAUUAAGUGAUUAAUUUGGAGAUAUGUUGGUCGAUUUUUAGGUUUUGGAGGCUUAGGAGUGCUUACGCAUUAGAAACGAUACUAGGUGUGUACCCGAAACGCAGAAAAUGGGAUUCGGUGAAUAGCCAAAAUUGCUUGCUGUCGAGAAAUACGAGAAAUAAGAGAAAAUGAUGCAAAAAAUAUUGUAGACAAAGGAAAUAAGGGUGUUAUAAACUUGGAAAUCAACAUUUUAUACUAAAAUAUUUUUGGACAGCAGCAGUAGUCUAACUUUGAAAAACCAUAAAAAAUAGUGGAAAUUGAGUUAUAGGUUGAAUAAAAUAUGAAAUUAAAUUUUAUUGAGUCUAGUUUUUCAUGGAAGAAACAAUGUAAGCAAUGGAAAUGUAAAUUAUCAGAUAUAACAAAUUUUGUGAGACAAGGUCAGAAUGAUUUUGAGUUCCCCUGUUCUUACUUUUGAAAAUCAUCAAAAAUUGUAAAAAAAUGAAUUAGGGGCUUAAAUUUAUAUUUUUAAAUCCUUAAUGAUCUAUUUUUAAGAGAAACAAACAGAAACAUCAUCCAAAUUCCGUACUAAGAGAUAAAUAAUUUUUAGUAAGGAAAGGUUAAAGUUGUCAAACAGUAGAAUAGGGAUAAAUUUGAAGAUUUCACUGUACUUAUUUGAUAAACUAUAAAUUCUGAAAAUUUAAAGGCAAAAAGAUAUUUGAGUCUAAUUUCAAAAACAUCAAGCAAAUCUUAAUUUGGAAAUCUGUAGCUCAAGAUAUAAAUAAUUAAGUGGCAAUAAUUUAGUGAUUAAACAAUGAGCGCACGAGGUAUCCGCAGACUAGGUACUAGAGGUGGAGGUAGAGGCCAUAGAGGAGCUUGAGCUGAGUCCUUUUCACUUGGUAGCAUUCUGAAUUUGAAUACGAGCGAGAUGCUAGUGUCACCUGCUACUGAGACUGGGUCUCAAGAUCGCAUGGCUAGGGACGAUACAUUUCCCAGGUUAUGCUAAGGAUUUUGGAGAGGGUCGCUGGGCCCAAUACUGGAUCUGGGGGCUAAGGGUCAGUUACGGGAUGACUCUGAUCCAAUGGAGCUGAGCUCUUCAAGGGUGUCAUUGGAGUUGCCCCUAAUGUGGCCGACUACUGGAUUGAGGCCACGGAGAGGAUCAUGGAUGACUUAGACUGCACCCCAGAGCAGAAAUUAAAAGGUGCAGUCUCACUGUUAAGGGAUGAGGCUUAUCAGUGGUGGCUCACUGUUACAGAAGGCACUUAGCCCUAAUGUCUGACCUGGGAGUACUUUAAGACCGCCUUCUAGGCGAAAUAUGUGGGGGCGAGCUACAUGGAUGCCCCUAGGAGGGAAUUCCUGAAUCUGACUCAGGGAGAUCGAUCAGUGGCCAAGUAUGAGGCCGAGUUCCUGCGACUGAGCCGCUAUGCGCGAGGUAUGGUAGCCUCUGAGUAUGAGCGAUGUAUUCGUUUUGAGGAUGGGCUCAGAGAUAAUUUGAGAGUCCUAAUUGCUCCGCAAAGGGAGCGUGAUUUUUCUGCACUGGUGGAAAAGGCAAAGAUCGAUGAAGAGGUUAAGCGCACUGAGUGCCAAAACCGUAACCGCUAGAAGGGUAAGAACAAGAGGAAAUCGAAGCCCUCGAGUUCUGUACAAAGGCCUAAGAAAAAGGCCAGAGCUGAUGGGCCAGUUAGAGCUGGGCCUCCUAUUAUUGUUACUAGACUGCAGCCAUGUACUGAUUGUGGUAGACGCCAUCAGGGCGAGUGUUAGAGAAGAACUGGGGCAUGCUUGCAGUGUGGGUCAUUGGAGCACCGUAUUAGGGAGUGUCCGCUAAGGGCUAAUUAGAUGCAAGCUCUGGAUACUGGUAUGGCACAACCAUAGAGGGUAGUGCAGCAGCCACCUAGGGGCCGUGGACAGGCCAAAGGUGGUAAUGGUAUGAGUUGUAGGCAAAGAGCACUGGGUAGAGGUGCUAGACAGGCUGAGGGCUAGACAGCCAGCCCUAGUUUAUGCUACUCAUUGCCAAGAAGAUAGAGAUGCUCUGGACGUCAUCACAGGUACGUUCUUUAUUCUUGAUGUACCGUAUAUUACCUUGAUAGACAUAAGGUCUACUCACUCAUACAUAGCUAGCAACAUAUCUGGAAACUUGGGGAUUUCAGUUGAGAGUACUACGAGUGAGGUUACAGUACUGAGCCCGUUAGGGUAAUCUGUUAGAGUUAGCAAAUUGUAUAGGGACGUUCCUUUAGAGGUAUAAGAGGCAAUCUUCCUGGCUGAUUUGAUAGAGCUUCUAUUUAGGGAGUUUGACCUAAUUCUGGGGAUGGAAUGGUUGGUUAAGCAUUGUGUUAGCUCAGACUGUACGGCUAAGAGGUUCAUACUAAGGACUGAAGAGGAUAAGGAGGUAGUCAUUAUUGAAGAAAGCUGAAAUUACUUAUCUAAUGUGAUCUCUGCACUGGUAGUAGAGAAGAUGGUUCGUAAGGGAUGUGAGGCAUUUUUAGCCUACGUAAGUGUUUUAGAUUCUAGGGAUUCUACAAUUAAGGAUAUCAAAAUGGUAAAGGAUUUUCUGAAAGUCUUUACGGAGGAGCUACAGUGGUUACCUCUGAAUCGCGAGUUGAAAUUUGCGAUUGAGCUACUUCUAGGUACAGUUCUGGUGUCCAUCGCUCCCUAUCAAAUGACAUCGAAAGAGCUUGUGGAGCCUAAGGCUCAGAUUCAUGAGCUGUGCUAUUGAUUUUCGAGGCACUUGGGAGAAUUAUCUACCACUAGCGGAGUUUGCCUAUAAUAAAAGUUUCCAAUCUAGUAUCCAGAUAGCACCUUACGAGGCACUGUAUAAUCGUAAGUGUCGCACUCAUUUAUAUUGGAAUGAGUUUGGAAAGCGACGUGUUCUGGGUCCUGAGUUAGUAUUAGAGACUGAGGAUAAGUUUGACUGAUUCGGGAUCGUCUGAAAGUGGCAUCUAACAGACAAAAAUCCUAUGUAGAUCUAAAACAUCGAGAGAUUGAGUAUUCCAUAGGGAACUUUGUAUUUCUCAAGGUCCUGCCAUGGAAAAAGGUACUGAGAUUUGGUCGUAAAGGUAAGUUGGGCCCUAGUUUUAUUUGACCUUAUCGUAUUCUGAAGCGAGUGAGACCAGUUGCUUAUCAAUUGGAGCUACCUCCGGAGUUGGAUCAAAUUCAUAACGUGUUCCAUGUCUCUAUGUUGAGGUGCUAUCGCUCUGAUCCUACUCAUAUUGUUCCUAUUGAGAAGAUUGAGGUGAUGCCAGACUUGACCUUUGAGGAGGAGCCGAUUCAGAUUCUUGAUCGUAACGUUAAGGUUAUACAAAUGGAAGUCUAUCCCUCUGGUGAAGGUUUUGUGGCAUAAUCAUAGUACUGAGAAAGCAACAUGAGAGCCUGAGGAUGCGAUGCGUCAAUAGUAUCAUCAUCUGUUUUGAUUAGGUAAAUUUCGAGGACGAAAUUUUCUUUUAGGGGGUAGAGUUGUAACGCCCCAAAAUUUUAAUUUUUGAUUUUGUGUAUGUGUGACACACAAUUGAGUAUCUGCUUCAGUAGUUAAGUGUUCUGGGUGUGUAUGUGAGGUCCCAAGUUCAAGCCUUACUUAGGAAAAUUUUGGUAUUUAUAUAAAUAAAGCCUUAACCUUGUGCAAAGGGCUUAAGUUUAAUUGUUGGUAAGUUUAUAUCAGAAUGGGCCUGCUGGUCUGGUGGUUAAGUGGAGUGUUGGAGGUCUUGUAUUCAAUUCUCUAUGAUGGCAUAGAGACAUUAUUUUUGCUCCAAUUUCGGCUAAGAGUUGUGUUAGGGCAAAAUUCUGAGUAGUUGUAUUUUAGUGGGUUAAUAGAGACUGAUUUUAGGAGAUAAUUGGGGAGUGAUUAUCAGAAAAUAAUCUGAUUAUAUUUUUGUUGUAAAAUAAUAAUAAUAAUAGAGUUUUGAUUUUCUCUCCAAUUCCCCAAACUUUUUUUGACGUUUUCUUUUUCUUUUUUUCUCUCAUCUGUCAAUUCUUUCCCCUAGUUGCUGCCGAAAUUUCCAUUAUUUUACCCCUUCCCUUCCCUUUCUUUCUUUUUUUCCAAUUGAUUCAGCUUUUCAUCGUUGGUUUCCCGUGUUCGAUAAGUAACGGUUUUGUCUAUUGUUAGUCGUUCUUGGUUAAUCUCUAAAAGAGGGAUUCCUUUUUGGUGUUUAGGAGUUAAUUAAGGGGCUGGUGGUUUUGAAUCAACACUAUGAUUGUGCAAAUUCGUGGUUACUCAAGCGAGGUAAGGUUUUUUUUGAUUUUUAGUCGAGUUCCUUCCAAAAUUGUUUGAUUAAAAAUGAAUUAAGUGAUUAAUUUGGAGAUAUGUUGGUCGAUUUUUAGGUUAUGGAAUUUGGAGAUAUGUUGGUCGAUUUUUAGGUUAUGGAGGCUUAGGAAUGCUUAUAUAUCAGAAACAAUACCAGGUGUGUACUUGAAAUGUAGAAAACGACAUUCGGAAAAAAGCCAAAAUUGAUUGCUGUCAAGAAAUAAAAGAAAAUGAUACGAAAAAAAUUGUAGUGAAAUGAAAUAAGGGUGUUAUAAAUUUGGAAAUCAACAUUUUGCGCUAAAAUAGUUUUCGACAACAGCAGUAGUCUAACUUUGAAUAAUCAUCAAAAAAGUGUAAAUUGAGUUAGAGGUUGAAUAAAAUAUGAAAUUAGAUUUUAUUGAGUCUAGUUUUUCAUGGAAAAAACAAUGUAAGCAAUGGAAUUGUAAAUUAUGAGAUAUAAGAAGUUUUGUGAUACAAGGUCAGAAUGAUUUUGGGUUCCCCGGUUCUGACUUUGGAAAAUCAUCAAAAAUUGUAAAAAAAUUAAGUAGAGGCUUAAAUUUAUAUUUUUAAAUCCUUAAUGAUCUAUUUUUAAAAGAAAUAAACAGAAACGUCAUCCAAAUUCCGUAUUAAGAGGUAAAUAAUUUUUAGUAAGGAAAGGUUGAAGCUAUCAAACAGUAGAAUAGGGAUAAAUUGGAAUAUUUUAUUGUACUUAUUUGAUAAACUAUAAAUUCUGAAAAUUUUAUGGUUGAAAGUUAUUUGAGUCUAGUUUAAAAAAAAUAGAGUAAAUCUUAAUUUAGAAUUCUUUAGCUCAAGAGAUAAAUAAUUUAGUGACAAUGAGACAAGUAGACAGCUAGGAAUGAACGUAUAAGUAAAUAUAGUGAAAACAUAUAUGAAUAUUUAGCUAGCAUGAGUUACAUUAAAAAUGGAUCACACGGCCAAGGCCAAUUUGGGCUGAGUGGGCCAUACGAGCCUAUGGGCCCACACGAGCAGAUCACAUGGGCGUGUGAGCCCAUUUUUACCUAAAUGUUUCUAAGGUUGCAUAGGUCUCCCAAGUCGACUGUAAACCUACUGUAAGGUCGGUAAACGCUACUUAGACCCCUAAAUGUGUGAAAUUGACUAAAUGAUAUCUGUACUGAGCAUGUUAAUAUCUAAGCUGAAUAUAUGUAUUGAAAUUGCAUAAUAGCAUAUCAUCCAAUGCAUGUUGCAUUGCAUUGGGUUGGGGGCUGUUAUUCAGAAGAAGCGUACUGAAAGGCUUUAAGCCUAAUUUACUGGCAGUUCAGCUACAAACUACUAUUUUGUGCCGCAUUUUGUACUACUUGGAGUGUAGGGAUGGGUGGGUUGAUUAUAUCUCCACAUGGAAUGUAGGGUUGGACGGAGAUGGUGUGUAGAGGUUGGAUGGGUAGGAUUUUGCUACUACAUAACUGUUACUGCUACUGAUACUGUGAUGGGCUAAGGCCCUACUGCAUUUUUGACACUGUAUUGAGAUAGGCUAAGGCCCAAACUGUCACUAAUACUGAAAAGGGCUUAGGCCCAAGACUGUUCAACUGUGCACUGUGAAUACUGAUUGUUUGUUUGUUUCUGCGGGAUUACACACUGAGUUUAUGUAAACUCACCCUUUUGUUUAAUGUGCACAGGUAAUCCCUAGACUUAGAUGGAUCGGUACGAUAAAGGACUCACGGUGUCCACAGUAAUUAUUAGACUUCAUGGUUUUCAAUUUAUGAUUUAUAAUUUGAUUAUUAUUGAUUUUUUGGGUUGUAAUUUAAGGACCCUCUGGGACUUUGGUUUUAAAUUUUGGUUUUUGUUUAUUUAUUUAUUUUACUUUAUGGAUUUAUACCUACUGGUCGUAGGAAAUUCAGUUUUCAAAAAGUUAAAGUAUUUUCAAAACACAUGAUCACUUAGACUGUUUUAUUAAAGCUUCCGCAACGAGGGAUGUUUCAAAACAAAUGUUUUAAAUGAAUAAAGACGACUUCUUAAGUUCUAACAAAUGUUUACUAAAGAUAAUAAUAUGGAAUGUUUUCAUCGUAACAAUGAGGUUUCAAAAAGACUAUCGUGUGAUAUUGCCAGAUACGGCCAUAGCGUCUAGGCCAGGUUGGGGGUGUUACACAAGUGAUAUAAUACAAGGACUAAAUUAAGCUUUAACCCUUUCAUAAAAGAUACAAACAUCCUGAUAAAUCGUAAAUUAUACAUAUUUUUACCCCAUGUUUAAUGCAUUUUAUGGAUGAUUUCUCAUUAGAUUUAGUGAAUUCGAUGCUCCUAAUGCUUUACUUUCAUAUUUUAUGCUUAGGAGAGCAUAGGAGAGCGAAAGGAACGAGAAACGGGCCAAAAACAGAGAAAAUGGGCCAAAGUACGAAAUCAACACAGCUUGGACCUCCUCACAUGGGCAGACCACACGGCCGUGUCAAUUUGACAGGCUCGAACACGGCCUAAAGUAAUCGAACACUGGCGUGUCACACGGGCGUGUCCCUACCGAGCACAAGUUGAGUCCAAUUCGGAAAAGGCCAAUUUUGAAGGUUUUUAGGCAUUCUAAAGCCUAUAAAUAAGAACUAGAGGAGGAGAAAAGAGGGGACGGAGAAGAGGGGUAAGGAAUUACCCUAAGGAAGCCGAUUGAUCCAUCUCAGAAGCCAGAUUCACCAUCAAGACUGAAGAUCUCUCUUCAAUUCCCCUUCAGGAGUUUUGGGUUUUCUUUAUGUUUUGUAUUCUUUAUUCUUAUGAGAUGUUUUCUUAUUUAGUUAUGAACUAAAUCCCCUAAAUACCUAAGGGAAUGAAACCUAAGACGAAUCUUGUUAUUAUUUUCUGAAUCGUAUGAUAAAUAUUUAACUUGUUCUUAAUUAUGUGUUCUUAAUUCUUGCUUUGAUAUCCCAGGAUACUGAUUCAAGACACGCUCUUAUUCAGAAGAGGAAUAGACCCUGUCUAAGAGUACAUUUUCCAUAAUUAAGCAGAGUUGAUUGCGCGCCUAGAAAUAAGGUGACAAGAUUUUACCGGAUUAGGGUGAAACCUAAUAAGGGGAUCCACAGUUCGAGUUAAUGCAACCCUAGAGCGUUAAUUAGAGAAAAGUCUCGGUUAUUAAAUCUAGGGAUUAUACGUUAUUAGUCUUGAAUAGGGAUAAUAACAUAACUUAGGGAUCUCUAUAGAACAAGUUGAAUGAAUAAAUCGUCCGAUUCAGAGCCAGAAUAACAAGUAAAGUUUAGGUGGAUUUUUCCUUAGGUAUUGUCUCAAGUCAAUUGAUUUUCCCAAAAGAAAUUCCCCAAUUCUUUUCUCUGUGCGUUCUUAGUUUAAAUAAUUAGUUAAUUAAAACAAACCCUUUUAUUUCUAGGCUAGAUAAUAAAAAGAUAGUUAUUACUAGUACUUUUGGUUCCCUUGGGUACGAUAUCCCAGUCUUGCCAUUAUUAUACUAUUGUUCGAUAGGUGCGCUUGCCUUUUCGUCACGAUAAUAGUUAGUCUAGGUUUGAUCUUCAUUAUAAAUAUUUAUUUCUUGUUACGAAUCACGCGAUCACAUCCAACAAGGGCGUAGACAGGGGCAGUAGCCCGUAAAAAUGGUAAAAUUACUUUGGAUCCUCUUUAAAAAUUUAAAAAUUAUAAGUUAAUAUAAUGGUAUAUUACACUUUAACCCCUUAAAUUUUAUAAUUCAUCUUUGACCCCUUAAAGUAAUUUUUUGGCUUCGCUCCUAUCCAACAAGAGUUGGGUGUAACAUGGUAAGGCAUAUUACACUCCUAAGAGGAGAACAGAAGUUUGAACCUUGAAGUUGAUAUUGUUGGGGAGUAGGCACGAACUUCGAAUAUAAACCGUAAAACAAAAUACCAAAAAAAGAGAAGAAUGAGAGAAAAGGAAACUAAUUUGAAAACUAUACCCAAAAAUUAGGUUGACUUAGGUUUCUUUGAAAAAUCAUUCCUAUUUUUCUUUGAAACAAAAAAACAUAAUGUCAAAUUUGACCUUUAUUCUUUUUUUGUUGAGUUAAAUUUGUCUAUUAAAUUUUCAAAAGAGUUAAAUUACUCUUUAUAAUGAAAAUGCCGACUAAAAUAUUAAUUUUUUAAACAAUGUUGGUGCAGCAACCUGUUGGUGAUCCAUAUGUACUUCAUGUGGACAUGACACUAUUUUUAUUAUAUUCCAAGUCAACAAAAAAUUUAAAAUUUUAAAAAAAAUUCAUAAUUCAUAUUUUUUUAUUCAUACAGGUUGUCAUGUUUAGAUUUAACUUUUUAAUUAGUAUUUUUAUUAAAAAAUAAUUUGACUCUUAUUAAAAGUUUCAGGUCAAAUCUAACUCAAAAAAUGAAUUAAAGUCAAAUUAAUAAAAAUUUUUGAGAGAUAAAUUUCACAUUAUACUAAAAAAAAAACACAUUUCAAUUCCUAAAGCUGAAAACCCUUUUCUCCAUUCGAAAAAUCCAUUUUUGUUUAAAGAGACAACACCUUGGAUUCGAAAAAUCCCACUUUCUUUCGAAGAAAUCUCACUUUAGAUUCGAGAAAUUCUAAAAAAACUCUCAAUUUAAGUCAAAAAACCCACUUUCAAUUUGAAAUUAUAUGGUAAAUGGUAGAUUGAAAAAACUAAGAUUUGAGUGUGUUAUACUCUUAUCUGCAACAUGAUACGUGGCAAACUAGAAAAGUGUCUGAAAUUGGGAGGUCACCUACAAACUCACUAUUCUGAUAUGACUAUACGGACAAUAGGAGAUGUAAUCUUCAUCGAAAAUAUGUUAGAACAUUUUCAAAUAUUUAUAGUGUUCCAAUAACUAUAAAUGAAUGGGUGUAAUUAAUCAAAAGAUAAAUCUUUUGGUCAUUGGUAAAAAAUUAUCAUUUGAUUUUUGAAAAAUAAUUAUAACUAUCCAAACAAUAUUACUUGAAUAGGUAUACAAUUAGAUGAAUAAUUAUUAUUUUAUUUAUUCAGAAAGACACCUAUUGAAAGAUGUCUCUAUGAAGAGACAUGAGAAUUCCUAUAAAUAGGAAUGAGAUUUCAUUUGGAAAUGACACCAACAAAUUCUAACAUUCUUUCUUUUCUUUUUUCAUUUUCUACUAUUAUUAGAUUAUUCUAUAAAUUAUUAUUGUACAAAUCCUUUGUAGAAAUUGAGUUUCUUGUUAUACAUUGCUCAGUACUUAGUUGACUAUUCUCGUCAGUGUAAAACGCAAAUAGCCAUUGGCUUCAUUGUAUCCUUGAGGUUAAUUUGCUUGAAACUCUUUUGCAUACCAAAGAUAGGUGGGGGCAAAUAUAACCUUAAAGAUAGUGGUUUGAUACACGCCUUGGAGCCUUGUCCUAUUUCUUUUUUCUUUUUUUUUCUGUUUGAGCUUCAUUCGUGUGUUCGAGGUUUUCCUCACAGGAGAUUUGUACUAACAAUUUUAAGGUUAUAAUUCAUGAUGACUACCACAACACAUGAAUGUGGAACAUUAAGGGAGUUGGCUCUCAACUUUGUCAAACUUGAUUGGUUUGAUGGAGGCAAUUUUCGACGAUGGCAGAAAAAGAUGCACUUCUUAUUAACAACUUUGAAGAUUGCUUAUGUUUUGGAUACUCCAAGACUGGAAGAUAAUGAAAAUGAAUAUGUUACUACAACUUGAGAAAGACAAAAAUGGGAAAAUGUUGAUUACAUGUGCAUAGGCCACAAAUUGAAUGGUUUAUCCGAUGGUUUGUUCGACACCUAUCAGAACGAGGUCAUGGCUAAGGAUUUAUGGGACAAAUUGGAGACAAGAUACAUUACCGAAGAUGCUACAAGUAAGAAAUUUAUUGUCAGUCAUUUCAAUAAUUAUCAUAUGGUUGAUGGUCAUUCUGUUAUGGAACAAUUUCAUGAUAUUGAAAAAAUGUUGAAUCAAUUUAAACAAUAUGAUAUGAAAAUGGAUGAAAUGAUUGUUGUAUCCUCCAUAAUAGACAAACUUCCUCCAUCUUAGAAAGACUUUAAAAGAAGUCUAAAACAUAUGAAAGAGGAAAUAUCUCUUGAGGCUUUGGCAAACCAUCUUCGUAUUAAAGAAUAAUAUCGAUAGCAAGAUCAUAUCCUAGAUUUUGAAAAUGCCAAAGUACAUGUUACAGAGGAAGUACAGACUACUAAACCAUCCAAAAAAAAGUUCAGACAAACUGAUAGAGCACUUAAGUUAAAAAAAAAGAAAAGGGCACGUGCUAUCAUUGUGGUAAACCAGGAUAUUUCAAGAAUAAAUGUUGAUUUUUAAAGAAGAAAUCAUCUUCUAAGGCUGAUAAUGACGAAAAGUUUGUUACAAUUAUAUUUGAAAUUAAUAUGGCACAAGAUGAUAAUGCAUGGUGGAUUGAUACCAGAGCAACCAAACAUGUGUGCAAAGACAAAAGCAUGUUCACAAAGUUCACAAAAUGUGAAAAUGACAAUGUCUUAUACAUAGGAAAUUCUUCCACCACAGUAAUCAAAGGAAAAAGUCUAUUGAACUACAAUUCACUUCUAGAAAGGUUUAAACCUUGAAUGAUGUAUAUUAUGUACUAGAAGUUAGGAAGAAUUUAGUGUCUGGAAUAAGUUUGGUUUCAAACUUAUUUUUGAGGCAGAUAAGUUUAUUCUGUCUAAUGAAGGAAUUUUUGUAGGGAAAAGGUAUAUUUAUGAGAGCAUGUUUAAACUCAGUAUUAGUAAUAAGAAUAAAAAUACUAUUUAUGGUUAUAUGGUUGAAUCUUCUUGUUUAUGGCAUUAUAGAUUAGGUUAUUUGAAUUAUAGAAAAUUGAAUGACAUGCAUAAGUUAGAUUUAAUUCCUUUUUUUAAUAAUAAUAUUAAAAAAAAUGUAAUACAUGUAUGUUGGCCAAAAUUACAAGAAACUAUUUCCCUAAGGUUAAAAGGAAAACAAAGUUGUUUGGUUUGAUGCAUAGUGAUUUAUGUGACAUGCAUAACACUCCUAUAUUAGGUGGAAAGAAAUAUUUUGUUACUUUUAUUGAUUAUUGUUCUACAUAUUACUAUGUAUAUUUAUUGCAUUCAAAAGAUAAAACGCUUGAUAAAUUUAAAGUUUAUAAAUCUAAAGUUGAACUUCAGUGUAAAUCAUUUAUCAAGUGCUUAAGAUCGGAUAGAGGUGGAGAAUACUAUAAUCCAAGUUAUUUUGAAUCCACCGGAAUUGUCCAUCAAGUUUCAGCCCCUUACACACUACAACAAAACAGUGUAGUAGAAAGGAAAAAUAGAGUAUUGACUGAAAUGGUAAAUUCAAUGUUAUCAUAUUCUGGUCUUGGAAAAGAUUUUUAGGGAUAAACUGUUCUAAUAGCUUGUCAUAUAUUGAAUAGAGUUCAUAAGAAGAAAACUAAAAUAACCUCUAUGAACAAUGGAAGAAAAGGAAACCAAACCUUAAUUCUUUGAAGUUUUAGGGUUGUACAGCUAUUGUCAAAGUUCCAACACCUAAAUGUAAAAAGUUAGGUGAAAGAGGAACUGAAUGCAUAUUUAUAGGAUAUGCACGUAAUAGCAAGACAUAUAGAUUCAUGGUAAUUGAACCAAACGAUUCAAUUUCAAUUAAUACUAUUAUUGAAUCAAGAGAUGUUAUUUUUGAUGAAAAUAGAUUUAAUUCUAUUUCAAGACAAUUAUAGCCACAAUAAGUGAUUCAUUCUUCAAAUGAGAAUGAGAUUUCAUUGGAAAAAAUUGAUAAUAAUGAUGAAUCUUGACAAAAAUUAAGAACAAGUAAAAAGAUUAAAAAGGUCAAAGAUUUUGGACCAAAUUUCAUUAUGUUUCUUGUAGAAAGAAAAGGUGAAUGUAUAUGCAAUAAGAUACAUUAUUGUUAUAAUACGAAAUAUGGCCUUAUUACAUUUGAAGAGGCAAUGAAAUCUCAAGACUCUUCUAACACCCCAGACCAGCCUAGAUGUUAUGGCUGAACCGGGCGAUGUCACAUGAUAGCGUUUUGAAAACUGAGUUGUUGUGAUAAAACCAUUUUCAUUUGUUGACUUUUGUUAUCUCCCAAUCAUUUACCUAAUUAAUCGAUUACUUUAAAACAUAAUUUCAUUCAGAAGCUUUAGCAAUAAUUUAUUUUGAGCAAAAAUAGUUCACUUUAUGGAAAACCUUGAUUCUUAGGAAAAUCUGUAUUUGUUAAGUUUGAAGUUAAAAACCUGUAAAAAUAUCUAAAUUUUUCUAGAGCUUAAGCAAACAAUCCAUAAAGUCCAGUUACAUAAACAUUUCCCAUGGUCAAUAAAUCCAUAAACGAGAGAGAAAUAGUUUAAAUACGUGUGGCCACCGUCGAGUCCUCAACUACACCAAUCUACCAAGUCUGAGGAUUACCUACACAGAUUAAAUAGAAAAGGGUAAGUUUCGCAACUCAGUGUGUAAUCCCCACAGAAUUCACACAUACAAAAUACACAUCAGGUGUCAUAAAUAAAUAGUCUGUGGCCGGAGCCCUUUACAGAAUCAGUUAGGGCCUUAGCCCAAUAGAUACAGAAUCAGAUACAACUUAGGGCCUUAGACCAUGUCAGAUACAAUAUGCAAAUAGAAUAUCAGAAUCCUACCCACCAGCCUCUGCACACCAUCUCCCUCCAACCCUACACACCGUGUGGGGAUAAAUUCGACCCACCCAUCCAUACACAUCAUGCUGUACCGAGAUGCAACACAUAGUCAGAUAAUUGCAGCUGAGCUGCUAGAUAUCAGGCUUAAGAGCCUUUCAGAAUAAUUCCUCCAAAUAACAUCAUCCCAACUCCGAUGCAAUGCAACAUAUAAAAAUGACAUGCUAUUAUGCAAUAUAUCGGAUCAUACAUUUAGUACAAAUAUCUCAGUUCAUGCUUGAUACAGAAACCAGACAGUCAAAAUACUCAAUAAGGGGUCUAAAUAGUGCUUAGUGACCCUACAGUAGGACCACAGUCGACUUGGGCGACCCGUGCAACCUUAUAGAUCAUUUUAGAAAAAAGGGCUUACACGCCCAUGUGGCCUACCCGUGUGGGUUAACACGCCCGUGUAGCCCACACGGCCUAAGUUGACCUUGGCCAUGUGGAUCACAUGGCCUGGCCUAAAAUCUCACACGCCCGUGUGGCCCACACGGCCCAAUAGGUCGAGCUGGUGUGUCACACACCGUCUUGUCAUGCGCCCGUGUCUUGCGCACACGGCCUGGCUCAUCGAUCACACGUCUGUGUACUAUCACACGGCCUACCACACGGGUGACCGCACGCUUGUGUGACGUCAACAGAUUUAUUUUUCUGCUUGUCCAAUUUCUUGUUUUCUGUGUUUUUGAGUACACACCUGGUUCAUUUUCGCUGUUUACUAAAUCCUGAGAUCACUACCACCUAUAAUUGAUCGAUAAAUACAGAUUAAACACUUGAUACACAUUAAAACUGAAUUGGAACAAAGAAUCCCAAGAACACAUAAACGUCUUACCAAAAUCAACCGAACUCAAUUCUAAAUUAGAUUCGAGAAGUGUGACUCGCAGCCUCACAACUUUCUCCUAAACACAAUUUAAAUUCAUUAACCAAUGACGUUACAGUCUCAAAACCAAACUUAAACAACAUACCUACUGAACGUGCAACUGUGACCACGAAAAGGCAUUAGAUAGGAGGAUGAAUUAAGGAAAAAGGAAACAAGCAGAGAAAGGCUGAAGUUUCAGCAACAAAUCGGCGGUAAAAGGUUGGCAAAAGAAAAGGAAACAACAGAAUCUUUUUGGGAAGAAGAACAACAAAAAUUCAGUAGUGGGAAAAAAUAAAAUCAAAACCCAAUAACUCCCUAAUCUCCUAAUUUACUCCCACUAACCCUCAACUACUCAACCACUUAAGUGUUUCAGCCAAACCAAAACUCCCAUAUAGCACAAGCAGCAAAAUAAAUCCCUUGCUCGUGCAAGAAUUCGAACACAGGGCCUUUAACAAAUUAACACUCCACUUAACCACCAGACCAGUAGGCCUAUUCUGACAUUAGCUUACACAUAAGUAAAAAUAAGCCUAUUGAACCUAGUUAAGGCUUAAUUCAUAAAAAGGCCAAAAUUUACCCAAGUCGUGACUUGAACUUGGACCUCACACACACACCCGGAACACUUAAUCACUAAAGCAGAUACAAAUUUAUGUUUAAUAUUUUAUCAGAAAAUAAAUUUAAAACUUAAGGCGUUACAAUUCUACCCCCUAAAAGAAAAUUUCGGCCUUGAAAUUUUACCUGAUCAGAAAAUGUGAGGAUACUGCUGACGCAUCGAAUCCUCCGGCUCCUAAGUGGCCUCCUCAGUGCUAUGAUUCCUCCACAGCACCUUCACUAGGGGAAUAUAUUUUUUUCGUAGAACCUUAAUGUCGCAAUCUAAAAUCUGAACCGCUCCUCCUCAAAUGUUAGAUCUGGCCGAACCUCAAUCUCCUUCACAGGAACAAUGUGCAUAGGAUCAGAGCGAUAUCGUCUCAACAUUGAGACGUGGAAAACAUCAUGAAUGCAAUCUAGCUCUAGAGGUAUCUCUAACUGAUAUGCGACUGACCCCACCCGUUUUAAAAUUUGGUACGGCCCAACAAGCCGAGGGUUCAGCUUGCCCUUGCGACUGAACCUCAGAAUUUUCUUCUAUGGCAAGACCUUAAGGAAAACGAGGUCUCUCACAGAAUAUUCUAUUUCUCAAUUCUUCAAGUCUGCAUAGGACUUCUGCCACCAGAAGCCGCUUUCAGUCGAUCUCGAAUCAAACGGACCUUGUCUUCAGUUUUUGAAACCAAUUCCGGACCCAAAAUAUGUUGCUCACCCAACUCAGUCUAGCAUAAGGGAGUGCGAAAUUUACGACCAUACAUUGUCUCGUAAGGUGCCAUCUUUAUACUAGACUGGUAGCUGUUAUUGUAAGCGAACUCCGCUAAUGGCAAGUACUCUACCCAACUGCCUCAAAAAUCAAUAAUACAACCCCUCAACAUAUCCUCCAGUAUCUGAAUCACCCUCUCUGACUGACCAUCUGUCUGAGGAUGGAAAGCAGUACCGAAGUCUAACCUCAAACCUAGAGUCUCAUGCAGUUUCUUUUAGAAUCGAGAUGUGAAACGAGGAUCCUUAUCGGAGAUGAUCGAGACAGGUACCCCAUGUAGCCUCACUAUUUCAGAAAUGUAGAGUUUAGCCAACCUUUACAGAGAAAAGUCUGUCCUGACCGGAAUGAAGUGAGCAGACUUGGUCAGUCGAUCAACAAUGACCCAGACAGAAUCUUUCUU